rnacentral:lncRNA from 1 species
GAGAAAGCAAUCCUGCUGGGGGUCUGGCUCUCGAGAUUCGGAGAGCGGUGUCUCUUCGAUUUUUGAGAAAGUAAUCAUGUUGGGAGUUUGGCUCUCGAGAUUCGGAGGGCGGUGCCUCUUCGAUUUUGGAGCAAGCAAUCUUGUUAGGGAGUGUUUUCUCGAAUGUGAGUAAAGGUUGGGCAUGUUUGCUAGUCUACCUUGCCACGAAGCACAGAGGUUGACACACAGGGACUUUCCAAUUAUCCAGCAGUGGUACUGUUCCUUUACCCUCUCUUCGAUUUUUGAGAAAGUAAUCAUGUUUGGAGUCUGGCUCUCGAGAUUCGGAGGGCGGUGCCUCUUCGAUUUUGGAGCAAGCAAUCUUGUUGGGAGUGUUUUCUCGAAUGUGAGUAAAGGUUGGGCAUGUUUGCUAGUCUACCUUGCCACGAAGCACAAAGGUUGACACACAGGGACUUUCCAAUUAUCCAGCAGUGGUACUGUUCCUUUACCCUCUCUUCGAUUUUUGAGAAAGUAAUCAUGUUGGGAGUCUGGCUCUCGAGAUUCGGAGGGCGGUGCCUCUUCGAUUUUGGAGCAAGCAAUCUUGUUGGGAGUGUUUUUCUCGAAUGUGAGUAAAGGUUGGGCAUGUUUGCUAGUCUACCUUGCCACGAAGCACAGAGGUUGACACACCGGGACUUUCCAAUUAUCCAGCAGUGGUACUGUUCCUUUACCCUUGUGGGUAAUAAUAUGGUAGCUAGACCUUCAAAAUUUAUGUGUCUAAACUUUGUUAGUGUUGUUUCUUUGCUAAUUCUUUUACCCUUCUUGGUCAGAGCGAUGUAGUGGGAGCUGCAAGCUUCACGUGUCUCAACUUUGUCAGAGAACUUUGGCAAAGUUAUCUGUGGUACCCAUGAGCUUACUGUUGCGUGUGGGAAGUGGGUGAUUGAACAGUACGAUUCAUGUGCUUUCUACUUCGCCAGAAAUCUUCGACAGAAUGCCCAUAAUUUCCGCAAAGCUGAGUGUGCGUGUGACAGGUGCUGACAAGGCUGGAAAAAGUAGGUGCCUCUUCGAUUUCUGAGAUCGGCCCUCGUGGUCUCUGAGCAGCCCAGCUUUUGAGAAAGCAAGCCUCUUCGAUUUCUGAGAUCGGCCUUCGUGGUCUUUGAGCAGCCCAGCUUUUGAGAAAGCAAACGCCUCUUCGAUUUCUGAGAUCGACCCUCGUGGUCUCUGAGCAGCCCAGCUUUUGAGAAAGCAAACGCCUCUUCGAUUUCUGAGCAGGCGCCUCUUCGAUUUCUGAAGCUUCGUCGAGUGCAGAUUUUUAUAGGGGCUGACAUUAAGUUCCAAAGCACACUUGAAUAUCCACCAGUAGAAGCUCCAUUCUUGCACUUCUAAGAUCUUGAUUUGUCCGACCUCUUCUCUCUUCAACACCUUUGAAAAUGUCUGGCCCCUCCGACCGUCGUUUUGACUUGAACCUUGUUGAAGAGGCAGCCCCGCCUUCUCCAGACAACAUAUGGCGCCCAUCCUUCGUCUCCCCUACUGGUCCUCUUACCGUUGGGGAUUCCGUGAUGAAGAAUGAUAUGACCGCUGCGGGUAGUGGCCAGGAACCUUCUCACUCCCAAAGAUAACAGACUACUUUCCAAACGGUCUGAUGAGUUGGCUGUUAAGGAUUCUCUGGCUCUCAGUGUUCAGUGUGCAGGUUCUGUGUCUAAUAUGGCCCAACGCCUAUUUGCUCGAACCCGCCAAGUUGAAUCAUUGGCGGCUGAAGUGAUGAGUCUCAAACAGGAGAUUAGAGGGCUCAAGCAUGAGAAUAAACAGUUGCACCGGCUCGCACAUGACUAUGCUACAAACAUGAAGAGGAAGCUUGACCAGAUGAAGGAAUCUGAUGGUCAGGUUUUACUUGAUCAUCAGAGAUUUGUGGGUUUGUUCCAAAGGCAUUUAUUGCCUUCGUCUUCUGGGGCUGUACCGCGUAAUGAAGCUCCAAAUGAUCAACCUCUGAUGCCUCCUCCUUCUAGGGUUCUGUCCAGUACUGAGGCUCCGAAUGAUCCCCCUCCGGUGCCUUCUCUUUCUGGGGCUCUACCGACUGCUGAGACUUCUCCUAAGCAACCUUUGUGAAGGCUCCCUCUUGUUUGUUUAUUUUGACUCAAGUAUAUGUACAUAUUUGUAACUUAUCGGGGAUAUCAAUAAAUAAGCUUUCCUUCAUUUCAACGUAUUGUGUUAAAUACACCAAAGCCUUCUUCGCUAAGUUCUUUGAAUUUUCUUUUGUUGAAGCUUGUAUGUUGAAGCUUUGUGAGUGGAGCAUGUAGGUUGAGGUAGUGUUCCCUUAAUUUCCCGAGUGAGGAAAACUUCUCGGUUGGAGACUUGGAAAAUCCAAGUCACUGAGUGGGAUCGGCUAUAUGAAUCUUAGAACGCCAUUGUGUUCUGUCCUGUGUCAUGUCCUCCGUUAGAUCCAAGUACUCUAAGUCUUUUCUUAGGGUCUCUUCCAAAGUUUUCCUAGGUCUUCCUCUACCCCUUCGGCCCUGAACCUCUGUCCCAUAGUCGCAUCUUCUAAUCGGAGCGUCAGUAGGCCUUCUUUGCACAUGUCCAAACCACCGUAACCGAUUUUCUCUCAUCUUUCCUUCAAUUUCGGCUACUCCUACUUUACCCCGGAUAUCCUCAUUCCUAAUCUUAUCCUUUCUCGUGUGCCCACACAUCCAACGAAGCAUCCUCAUCUCCGCUACACCCAUUUUGUGUACGUGUUGAUGCUUCACCGCCCAACAUUCUGUGCCAUACAGCAUCGCCGGCCUUAUUGCCGUCCUAUAAAAUUUUCCCUUGAGCUUCAGUGGCAUACGGCGGUCACACAACACGCCGGAUGCACUCUUCCACUUCAUCCAUCCAGCUUGUAUUCUAUGGUUGAGAUCUCCAUCUAAUUCUCCGUUCUUUUGCAAGAUAGAUCCUAGGUAACGAAAACGGUCGCUCUUUGGUAUUUCUUGAUCUCCGAUCCUCACCCCUAACUCGUUUUGGCCUCCAUUUGCACUGAACUUGCACUCCAUAUAUUCUGUCUUUGAUCGGCUUAGGCGAAGACCUUUAGAUUCCAACACUUCUCUCCAAAGGUUAAGCUUUGCAUUUACCCCUUCCUGAGUUUCAUCUAUCAACACUAUAUCGUCUGCGAAAAGCAUACACCAAGGAAUAUCAUCUUGAAUAUGUCCUGUUAACUCAUCCAUUACCAACGCAAAAAGGUAAGGACUUAAGGAUGAGCCUUGAUGUAAUCCUACAGUUAUGGGAAAGCUUUCGGUUUGUCCUUCAUGAGUUCUUACGGCAGUCUUUGCUCCUUCAUACAUAUCCUGUAUAGCUUGGAUAUAUGCUACUCGUACUCCUUUCUUCUCUAAAAUCCUCCAAAGAAUGUCUCUUGGGACCCUAUCAUACGCUUUUUCCAAAUCUAUAAAGACCAUGUGUAAAUCCUUUUUCCCAUCUCUAUAUCUUUCCAUCAAUCUUCGUAAGAGAUAGAUUGCCUCCAUGGUUGAGCGCCCUGGCAUGAACCCGAAUUGGUUGUCCGAAACCCGUGUCUCUUGCCUCAAUCUAUGCUCAAUGACUCUCUCCCAGAGCUUCAUUGUAUGACUCAUUAGCUUAAUACCCCUAUAGUUCAUGCAAUUUUGUACAUCGCCCUUAUUCUUGUAGAUAGGCACCAAAGUGCUCGUUCGCCACUCAUUUGGCAUCUUCUUCGUUUUCAAAAUCCUAUUGAAAAGGUCAGUGAGCCAUGUUAUACCUGUCUCUCCCAAAACUUUCCACACUUCGAUUGGUAUAUCGUCUGGGCCUACUGCUUUUCUAUGCUUCAUCUUCUUCAAAGCUACAACCACUUCUUCCUUCCGGAUUCUACGAUAAAAAAGAGUAGUUUCUACACUCUUCUGAGUUACUCAACUCCCCUAAAGAAGCACUCCUUUCAUGUCCUUCAUUGAAAAGAUUAUGAAAAUAACCUUUCCAUCUGUCUUUAACCGCGUUCUCUGUAGCAAGAACCUUUCCAUCCUCAUCCUUGAUGCACCUCACUUGGUUUAGGUCCCUUGUCUUCUUUUCCCUUGCUCUAGCUAGUUUAUAGAUAUCCAACUCUCCUUCUUUGGUAUCUAGUCGCUUAUACAUAUCGUCAUAAGCCGCUAACUUAGCUUCUCUCACAGCUUUCUUCGCCUCUUGCUUCGCUUUUCUAUACCUUUCACCAUUUUCAUCGGUCCUAUCCUUGUAUAAGGCUUUACAACAUUCCUUCUUAGCCUUCACCUUUGUUUGUACCUCCUCAUUCCACCACCAAGAUUCCUUUUGGUGUGGGGCAAAGCCCUUGGACUCUCCUAAUACCUCUUUUGCUACUUUUCGGAUACAACUAGCCAUGGAAUCCCACAUUUGGUUAGCUUCCCCCUCUCUAUCCCACACACACUGGGUGAUUACUUUCUCUUUGAAAAUGGCUUGUUUUUCUUCUUUUAGAUUCCACCAUCUAGUCCUUGGGCACUUCCAAGUCUUGUUCUUUUUUUCUCACUCUUUUGAUAUGUACAUCCAUCACCAACAAGCGAUGUUGAUUAGCCACGCUCUCUCCUGGUAUAACUUUGCAAUCCUUACAAGUUAUACGAUCCCCUUUCCUCAUUAGAAGAAAAUCUAUUUGUGUUUUUGACGACCACUCUUGUAGGUGAUCACAUGUUCUUCUCUCUUCUUAAAGAAGGUGUUGGCUAAGAAGAGAUCAUAUGCCAUUGCAAAAUCCAAGAUAGCUUCCCCAUCCUCGUUUCUCUCCCCAAAACCAUGGCCACCAUGAAAACCUCCAUAGUUGCCUGUCUCCCUGCCCACGUGUCCAUUUAAAUCUCCUCCUAUAAAUAACUUCUCCGUCUGAGCAAUUCCUUGCACCAAGUCUCCAAGGUCUUCCCAAAAUUUCUCCUUCGAACUCGUAUCCAACCCUACUUGAGGUGCGUACGCACUAAUCACAUUGAUAAGUUCUUGUCCUAUUACAAUCUUGAUUGCCAUGAUUCUAUCUCCUACCCUCUUGACAUCUACAACAUCUUGUGUCAAGGUCUUGUCCACGAUGAUGCCAACACCGUUUCUCGUUCUAUUUGUGCCCGAAUACCAUAGUUUAAACCCUGAGUUUUCUAGAUCCUUUGCCUUACGACCAACCCACUUAGUUUCUUGUAGGCACAUAAUAUUUAUCCUUCUCCUCACCAUAACUUCUACUACUUCCAUAGAUUUUCCCGUCAAGGUUCCUAUAUUCCACGUUCCUAAACGCAUUUUGCUCUCUUGAACUCUACCCUUCUGUCCUAGCUUCUUCACCCUUCCCCGUCUAAUAGGAUCAAAGUACUUCUUUUGUGUGUGUCCCGUGUAAAGUUGAUAGGAGCAUAUGCUCCCAAACAACUUUGAGUGGAGUCGUUCGAAAAGAAGUUUCUAUAGCCCCCUUGCUCAUUUAACACUGCAUCCGGGUGCCGAUGGAGAUACAGCGACCCUUGCUCACUUAUCACUGUGCUCAGGCCACACAGCGCGCCACUUACGGGUGACGCCCUAGCUUUAGCGCGAUUUCGUUCUGGAUUCAUUUUCAUAAGGAUUCGACGUGAUCAUGGAGUGCCGGCUGUCGACUACCUGACGCCCUCCCCCUCCUCCUUUAUCCGGGCUUGGGACCGGCAAUGUAAGAUAAACUUACACGGCGGAGUUAUUUACUGCAACCUAAUUAGAAAAAAAAAAAAUAUAGGAAGUGAUCCAAAUGAAGGAAAGACCCAAACAAGACCACUAGUGUACCACAAUAAUAUGUUCCUUGCAUGGUAAACACGCUAACUGAAUUAUUGGAUAAAUCGUCAAGGGAACCAUUAUGAUAUUUUCUAACAUGACCACCAGCGUACCAAGGUGAGCCAAGACCUACACAAAUAUCUAUAAUUGCUAUAUUUGAUACACAGAAUACCAUUAUGCUAGAUUUUUAUAUCUAGCACAUGGUUCUUACUUAUGCACCGAUGCUCACCAUUAUAUGCAUCAUUUAGCUAAAAGAAAAUAUUUCAGCAGAUCUUCAAUUAUAACAGAAUGUAUUUCUAAUUGUCAGAAAAGAAGACCACUGGCAGAUGGUCCAUACUUUUCUUAUGCUCAUCAAGAUAGGCAUAGUUAACAGAAAGAAUUUCAAGCACAUCUUCAAUUCUUAAGAAUAUAAUUAUUGAUUACUUAUUCUAGUUCACAUAUCCCGAACCGAGAAAUUACAUGUGGGGUCAUGUGUGUAAAAUUUGAUGUGCACCACGGACAAGAAUAUUUAAAGAAUAAAGCAUGAAAAUGGAAUGAGAUAAAUUGACUUACUUGGAAAGCGGAGCGAAUCAGCUCCUCAACAUAAUCAACAGUUGCUCCUUUCACAAAAUCAUAUGAAAUAUUGUCGACCACCAACUUUACUCCUUCCUUCUCAAAUACUCUAUUAUGGAAUGUAUGGGUCCCCAGUUAACCAAGCACACUUAAUAAGCAAAAGCGUUUUUAAUCAAGAAUUAUUAUUACAGAGAUGGACUAUAAAUACCUGUCAUCUGGGUGGUGUUUGUCGUCAAGAUCAAAAACAUAUUGGAACCCAGAACAUCCACCAGUUUCUACACUCAAACGUAGCAUCUUUCCCUCUGCUUCACUGGCUUGCAGCUGUUUCAUUCUCUGCAAGACAGUCGUUGAGAAACCAAGCCCAACACAAUAUUCGUUGAGAAACCAAGCUCAACAAAACAAUUCAGGAUUACAGACGCAAAAUGUCAUAGGUUGCAUUAAACUCUCUUCACCAGAAAACUGCAUAUUACGAGCAUGAUAACCGAUUCAAUAAGAACGACAAACAGAUAUGCUACUCAAAUUAUAUGAUAGAAUAAAACCGUUUAGCCGAUUAGUCUUCGUGCAUCCACUAGAAAUUUUGAAGAAAAAAUUCCAAUUAGCACAACCCAUUUCAUUUUUUUUCUAGUCUGUGUUUCUAUUUUGUGAUUCAUUCAUAAAAUCAUCGAAAAUGGUUAGCUAAGCAACAGAAUUAAAACCAUUACAGAUUAAUAACCCAAAAAUAAAAGUGGAAAAUACAGGCAGCCCAAAUGUCAAAUCGCACCGAAAAAAAAAAAGCGAAGGAGAGGGAGAGAGGGAUUACUUGAACACAGGUAUCGGUCAUGUGAACGGAAUCGAGGUCGAGGGCCGGAGAUGGAGAAGAAGAAGAGGCUUCUUCGACAGCAGAAGAGGAAGAGGAAUAGAAGAAAGAAGAGGAUAGAAGCCUCUGGUUCUGCCUGAUUCGAGCUGCAAAGUAGGGCGCGAGCCGGUGAAGAAUCAGAGAUCGCGGUGGACCCAUCGCCUAAUAACGGACCUGUUGGGAUUUUGGACUACAAGAUUUGGGGUGGUUCGGGUGGUCGUCGGCGAAUACGGGGGUCCGGGUGGGGGACAGCGGGAGGGGCUGGCUGGGCUGUGGUCGGGAUGAGGGGCAGAAGGGAGACGCUGCAGGGUAAGGGAGAGGGCCUGGUGAGGGAGAGGACUUGUAAGAAGGGAUAUAACGUCACGUGUCGCUCGUUAUAAUUAGUUUUUGAAAUUUCUUUGUGCUCACCUCCGUAGAAAUAUCAAAGAAAUCACUUAAAUUUUGAUUGAAAUCGACAGAUUUCGUCGAUGUUUGUUAUAUAUCGGUUAAAUAUUGACAAAAUGUCAUAUGACAUUGUCAAAGUUUCAUUUUUAAUUCCGCGUUUUUUAGCAAAUUUACAUUAUUUUUAUCAAAAUGGAUGAUAUCGAUAUUUUCAUAAAUUUGCAUAUCGCUAUUUUCACCGAUUUCAAUACUUUAAACACUGCUUAUAAUAAUAUAAGACCUACUCUGGUGGACCCAAACCCAAAUAUUUAAGUCCACUAAAAGACAUAAUUUAAGCCUUUAAACAAUGAAUGUCACCCAACCAUCCAAACCUAAAUUUCAGGACCUAAAAUGUGUUAAUUGUUGUAGAUGGCUUUAGCCCUAUUAUUUUCAGUAAGGAUUUUUUUUUGUUACUUUGAGUUAUAUUAUCGUAAUUUAAGUUUACAAAUGUUUAACCUAAAAAUUUAAAUUCCGACAAAACUUUCAAAACCGAACAAAUCACACCAACCAACAACUUGAACAAUAAUAAAAAACAUAAAUGAUAGUUCAUAACAUAAAUGAUGGAUCAUAACAUAAACUAAAAACUUGAACAAUAAUUGAAAACAUAAAAUGAUAGUUCAUAUAAGCUAAAACUAUUCACCUUUGUCCUAGUGAUGGGAUUCAAAAAUAAUCGUCGGGAUAGUUUGCAGCACUUGAACCUGAAUCUUAUGCAUUAUGAGUCUUCAUAAUUUCAUCUUGCAUGUCAACAUAAUACUUCUUCUUUCUUGGAGUAUAUUGGCUGAAGUUCUUGGACAGGAUUGAGUCCUCAUAAAAAAAAUUUCUCCAACAUCAUUUGCUUGUCAAUGAGAUCCAUUUUUCUUCUUCUAUCUACCUCAUAGUUACCCCAUUCUUUGCCUCUGAAACUUGACAAUGUGAUCUAAAUAAGUGUGGCGCACUUGACAUAGGGUGGUUGUGUCCUUCAUUGAAAACUAUUACAGCAAACUUUUUCGGAUUAGCGUCCACCCUCUUCUUGUCUUGUUUGCAACAAACAAAUUAUUUCCUUAACCAACAUUCACCAUCACUGGACUUUGUACUACUAUGCUGCUCCCGAAUGCUAAAUUCGGUUGCAAGUGCGUAAUUGUUGUAAAAAGUAUACCCUUCAUACAAUGACUCAAAUUCCAUUUUCAAUUUUGGUUUCAAUUCAUUGUCUACCGUUGGAAAAACUAAUUCAACCCUCCCUACACUAAAUUGAUCCCCUACAUCUACAUCCUUUCUUUCCACCACAAUUUCUUCUAUUCCUAACUCACCCUCCCCCAUCGAAUGACACUUCUAUGUCUACCUGCUACAAAUCUACACAACCCAGCACAAGUUUUGCACCUAUAUAUCUAAAAUCCAAUUUUACGAUUUUAGCCAAGUCCAGUGGUAACCAUCCACCAUUGUGGAUUCAAACCUAGAAUUACAACCAAAAUGGAAUGCAAUUGGAUUAUUAUAGAGGUUCUGGAUUUCUUCAUAGACUAGCCUUCACAUUCUUAGUUUCCUCAGACCUUCUAGAUAAACCCCCAUUGUCAACUCCAACCCAAGCACGUCUUUAAUCCACACCAAAUCAAGAUAUCACACCCUUGACCAACUCUUUCUCUGCCUCUCUUUCUUGGGGAAGACAAACCCAAUAUCUCCCUUUCUCGAAGACAAAAACAUACCCAGUGAACCAAAACAAUUAAAGGUACAAGAUUACCAGGUCACUGUCGCAAUGCACAUUCAAUUCAACUGAAAUCGAUUCCUCACCCCAACUCCCUCUGUCUACCUCUCUUUCCCUUUUCAGCACACCAAGAAUCCCUCAGCUACCCACCUCCUCCUUACUCUCUGACCAAAAUAUGACCAAUGCAAAAAAAAUUUAAAAUUUUUUAAUUGCGCUAGGUCAUAACAACCCAGUUCUACCGUGAGCUCAGCAACUUCUAACCGUCCGAUUUUCACCCGCACCUUAUAAAUGCCCAUCUUUGAUAGCUACUAGUUUUAUGUGAAUCAUGUGGGCUAUUUGUUUUGUGAUCAACUUAUUAACUAUUGAAGGAUAUAGGUGGCCCUUGUUAUGAUAAUUGUGAAUCAAAAUUAUGUAGUACUGAUUCUUUAAUUUAAGUCUUUUGAUCUUGGACAGACAUGUAUCAACUUUAAUUCAUAUGUUGUUGGUGGUGCUUUUGCUGCUAUAAAUCUUGAUGUGAAGUCUAGACUUUUGUGUUUGGCUUUCCUUAUCAAUAUUGUAAUUGUACCACACAUGCUCCAAUUAGUUUUUAGAAUAUCUCCUUAACGGCUUUUGUUGUUGGGAAUAAGUGUUCAAGGUUGUGGCACAUCAUCUCAAAGGUUUGUUCAUGCAUAUGCAUUUCAUGUUUAACUUACUGAUGCAUUUCGACUAGUAACCUUGUUUCGUCAGAGUUGCUUGCUGCUGACACCUUUUAUACGAGAUUUAGCUUUUCACCAUUGAUCUACUUAGAUUGCUUGUACAUUUAAAAGUCUCUUUGUACCUUGUUUGCAGAAAUCAAAGGUUUUGUUUUAAUAGGGUUAGAAGAUUUCAUUUCCUCUUUGGAGAGAGUGUCUAACCCUCAACUAGCUGCCUCUUCCUCUAGCACUCCUCGCAAACCUAGAAUCUGCUCUAAGAGCUAUGUCCCUAGUUGGGAGAAUCCUUUUCCUAUUCCGGCUGAACAUCUUUACCAUGGAGCGUGGUGUGACUCGCGUUAAAACCUACUUAUGCUCGUCCGUCAAUGUUGAGCAUAUGCUGUCUAGGGCUCUCAUAGGGAAGAUGUUCAGUCAAACCCUUGACUCUCGCUUGAUCAAGUGGAAGCUGGGGCUGUAUGGAAGAACGAGGUGAAGAUCACCUUCUAUUUGGACCAUUUUGGUAGGAAGUUGUUUGCUCUUGAAUUCAUGGAUGAGGAUGACUUAAAAUUCGUCAUGAAGAAUCGACCAUGGUAUAUUCGUGGACAAAUCUUCCACUUGGAACGGUGGACAACAAACUUCAAGGACACGGACGUCAUUACCAAGUUGGUUGUUUGGGCUCGGCUAUCUUGAGUCCCUGUGUAAUACAAAAAGGAGAAGAUUAUCAAGGAUAUUUCGCAACCGCUAGGUCAUGUGAUCAAAGUGGAUGAGGUAACUUUAGGUUUAAACAACCUGUUUGUUAAAGUUCUUUUAGAAGCUGACUUACGCUUCCCCCUGAAGCGUGUCCUCAUUGUUAACCAUGAGUAUGACUACCCAAUCUUUAUCAGUUAUGAAAAGAUUUUUGAAGUCUGUUUUUACUGCUGGAGAAUGAGGCUUGAGGGGCAUGUGUGCCCUGAAAUUGAAGCAAAUGGUGGUUGUUCCAUGAUUGACAAGGUUUUUUAUGAUGACCCAUCUGUUUAUCUGGAGGACGUGGUUGUUGAUAAUGAUGUUAAUGCUAGUUUGCAAAAUGAUGUGAUGCUUUGUUUUCCAAAUCCAACAAUUGUCGAGGAGUACACGGAAGUUGAGGAAUCUAGGCAACAUGUUGAGGAUAUAGGGCCUGAAGAGGAGGGUUGGACUAUAGUUGUACCAAGAUGGAGGAAAAAAAUGAACAAGAGGAAAAUGGGUGAUAGUUCUAAGGAUGACAGGUCGUAUAGAGAAGUGGUUGCUAGCCCUAAGCCAAAGUGGGUAGCAAAGGCUAAUAUCGUGCAGGAUUGGAGAAGGGCUGGGAAAUCAAAGCAAAGAGAGCAGCAGGUAAGUGGGAACAAAGAGGAUUAUCGGGACAAUGCAAAUCAUUAUUCUCAACUGGCUACCGAUUAUAUAAUUGAUUGGAAUCUGUCUGAUUUACAAAUGUUUGAUGAUUUGGUUGAGCUUUUGUUUCCAUUUGAGUCUUACUAUAAUAAUGAUCCUAGGCUAGGCAAGGUAAAUUUCUUUGAUGCUAUGUGUGUUUUGUUAAAAAAUCAAGUUAUGAUGAUGUCAAAUGUGGGAAGUUGUGAGUCCAAAGCUAGGGAGAACUCGGGAAGCUUUGUUGCAGCCGUGCUUGUGGCUGAGGUGGCUUCCGUGAGUGCUAGGCCAACUGUGGGAAUGAUGAGUCCAAGAAAAUGUGUCCGUGAAGAGGAAGCUGUUGAGGCUAGUCCAUCCGCUUCUGUUGAGGAAAUAAACUGAUGAAGGGUAUUGUUUGGAAUUGUAAGGGUUGGGGAAGACUUGAUUUUACUAGUAAUUUUAGCUUUCUUAAUAGCUUGGUUAAGCUAGACUUCUUUUGUUUUGUAGAAACAAAGUCUAAUGUGGAUAAAGCCCCUAUUAGUUGUUUUAGAAGGUUGUUUUUAUCAAUCUUUUGGUUUUAACCUUGAGGGGAGAUCGGGUGGCAUAUUUAUGUGUUGGAAUCAAUGUAUUAAAAGCGUGAGGCGUGGGUGAGGCGUUCGAGGGAUAACCCAGCCUAGGCAUGAGGCAAAGCCUCACGAGACUUAAAUUUUUUAAUAUAUACACUAAGUGUACACAUAUAUUAUAUUAAAAAAGAAGAAGAUUAUUAAUCAAUAAUCACUCUGAGUACACAUAUAUUAUAAAUAUACACACACACACACAAAUAUAUAUAUAUAUAUACAUAUAUUAUAUUAUAUAUAUAAUAGACGAUGUAAAGCAUAGUGAGCACACAUAUAGCAAUGCACGAAGACAGUAAACACCUCUAUUAUAUAAAAAAAAUAAAAAUAAGAAAAAAAAAUAGGGAGACGAUAGUGCAAGGAAGAGGUAUGAGGCAGUUAAAACCCUACCCAAAAUUUGGGUUUGGGAGUUUGGGAAAAAAAAAAAAAAAAAACCCUGAGGCGCCCCUAGGUGGCUCCAACGAAGCCUUUCGCCCACUCCAGCAAAACAGAGGCCUUCGUCUUAUCGCCCAGCCUCAAAGGUGCCCUAGGCGUGCCCAAAGGCUAGUUUUCUUAAAACAUUGGUUGGAAUGAUAGUGCACUUAAUCUGAAUGUGAUUGAUGUUUCUCCUAGACAUAUCCAUGCUCUAGUUAAAGAUGUGCGUGCAAACAUUGAGUACUAUGCUAUUUUUGUCUAUGUCUAUCCUCAAAAAUCUCUCCAAGAUAGUUUGUGGGAGGAGUUUUUAUCCUUAAACCCCGACGAUAAGCCCUGGAUGUUGCUAGGAAACUUCAACAAUAUUACAUGCAUUCAGGAAAAAUAGGGUGGAACCAAAGAGUCAAUGCUCGUAUGACUAAAUUUGUGGACUUCUUGAACAAUGAUGGGCUUAUUUUGUUACAAGCUUCGGGUGUUCCUUUCACUUGGAUUAACAAACACAAGGAUGACUUGCUUAUUUUUGAGAGAUUAGACACGGUCAUUGCCAAUUCCUAUUGGUUUGAAUUGCACCCAAGCUAUAUUCUUCACAAUUGUCCUAUCCUGGGGUCUAACCACAGUCAUGUGUUUAUUGAUACCGUUGGUUCUCAAGUUAGUCGAAAAAGAAAGUGCUUCAAAUUUGAAGCCAUUUGGAAUCUUCACCCUGAGUUUAAACAGUUUGUUAAGGGGGCUUGGAAUGCAGUGAGGGACUUCCCCUCUUAAUCAUUUUAGAGGUUGCUUAAGUACUUUUGCGUUUCUUGUUAAACAUUGGAAUCGUGCUAUUUUUGGGUCAGUUAGGGAGAAAAAAAGAUAAAAUUUUGAAGGAGCUUGACACACCCCGACCGAGAUCAAGGCAUGCUGGCCGUCACGUGAGAGUGACGUAGCCAUGUGCACAAUGUGGAAACAAUAAAGAUAGCAACUAUACGAAUAAUUAAAAACCAGAUUACUAAAGUGCAUUACUAAACGAAAGUGAUAGGAGUUAGUUACAACAGUGAACGCUCCUAAUCAGAGCAUAAAGUCUAGGUGCAGUCCAGUAGGACAAGUACUAGUUACACAGUACCAGGAAUGUCUUACUAUUAUUCAAAUAGGUCAGAAUUGCUGACGAUCCCGAGCCACCAACAGCAAGCUUACUUAAAACCUAGAGGGGCGCAAAACAGAAAAUGUGAGUGGGCAAAAACAAAUGUUUUACAAAAUCGUUUUCUUAUGAACAUAUCUAACCCCUCGCUGUAAAACAUGUAUAAUUUUUCUCAGAAUCAGAAUAUAAGCAAAUGCAUAAUAUAUAUAUAUAUAUACACACAUAUAUACAUAUAUAUGAAUUCAUAUCAAUUCAAUUCAUGCUUCACAUAAUCAUAUUCAGAUAUAUAUACCAUGCCCAUAUAUAACAGAGUAAACAAUUUAGGUAAAAAUGAAUUCAUAGAAAUAUGAUAUGUUAGCCGAAACCCCUGUGGUAGUUUGUACGGCUGAAUUCAUAGCUCAAAAUCAAUCUAGUCAGAGUCACUACAAUGACUUAUACGGCAAUAUAUUGCACAUAAGUCGGAACCCCUACAAAGGUCUGUACAACAAGAUUGGGUGUAAUAUAAUUAUGCUCAAUUUUACUCUCUCAUAAUAGCCGGGCGAUAAAUCGCUAGUCACCUACGAGUCGGAACCAUAAAUAAGGUAUGUACGACAAGACUGUGUACUUAGGUUGGAUCCAAUGUGAGCAUAUAGUGCGGGAGGUGACGUAAAUAAACAGGCCUGUACUUUAUAUCUCUGGCUAAAUCAUAAACACCCUAGGUGCAGUUGUAUGAGCUCAACAUUACUUAAUUACAUAUCACAUAUCACAUCAUCGAUGAUUCACGCAAUCAAACAUAACUUACCUGCACUCACCUGUGCCUCCACAGCACCUCAUUUAUAUAUAUAUGCAACCAUGCAAUGCAUAUUCAAAAUAUAGAAGCAUUUGGCAUAUUAUUUCAAAGCAUACUUUCCUUAAAAAUGCAUUUAUGGGAAAUAUACCAAGUAUAUAAAUAUAUACUGAAAACAAAAGUCCACUCACUAAUAUGUCGAAGGGUCGUAGCCCUCGAGUCACCCGUGGAUACGCUCGUCCUCGGGAUAAGCUUCACAUAUAUGUGAAUUAACUAUAAAACAUACGCAAUACUAGCUAAUAACUUCUCAUACAUUACUCAAAAUAGGUAUAUGAAUAUACCACAGUGAUCUACAUAACCUCAGGAUCAUCCCCAUAUUUUUAGAAAUAUUUUUGGACCUCCCAUGCGCCGCCACGCGUCGGCGGGUGCACGGGCAAGACGUGCCACCACGCGCAUGGAAUCCUGACAGAUUCCUUAACUGCCGUUAGGAAUAUUCCUCAUAAUAUUCCAUUAAAACCCAAUGGAAACCGUCCAAAUUAACUGACGCCAUGAGAAUAUUCCGUCCAAACUGACGGAAUAUUCCGUCUUCGUCCCCAACGAGUCACCGGUCGCCGGAAAACUGGUUAAAACUUUAAACUCACUAUGCUCACUCAUUUCUUAACCAUUUUUAUGAAAUUUGAACCAAAUGAAAGCUUAGAGUGAGAAGAAUGGCAUUAUACCUAUUUGGAGCUUCAAAUCUCACGAAAUUCCGACCAAACCUGCAACUCUUCAUUUCCCACGAUCCCGACAUCCAAAUUCUUCAAAUGAACUACCCCGAUACUCAUGAGAACCUCAUUAAGCUUCCUAUGAGCUUAGAAUUCCCUGAAAAUAACAUAUUUACGUGUGCAUGAACAGUGCACAAUUCGAGGGUUAGGUUUCACGGGGUUUUCGAAGGUUUCAGGUUCUAAAACUUGCACCAAUGGACUCCUGAGGUCAAAAGGAACAUGAAAUUGCUUACCUUGGUUUCGAUCUGCAAGGUUUGAGAUGGUUCUUGGAUUUCCCAUACGAAAAUGCCGAGAGGAAGAGAGAGAAAAGUCCACGGGAGAGAGAGAAAAGGUAUGUGUGUGGUCCAAAAGCCACCAAUCAAAAACCAAUAAUUCCCUUACUUCCAAUUGGGUCCAAAAACUUAGGGAAAAAUAACAAAUGGGUCCAAAUCCAACUUAAAUCACACAAUACACUUUAACGUCUAAGGGUAAAAUUGUCAUCGAAAAUAAUCUUUCGAGACGGGCUGUGACAGAGCUGGACUGUGUCUAGAAGGAACUUAUAUCUUUCAACUAUAAUGCUAACUCCUCAAACAAUUUCAGUGAAAAAGUUCACCUAGAGGCUCAAAUUAAUGAAAGUCUUGCUCAAGUCCUUAAGGAGGAGGAAGUGAUGUGGGCGCAAAAAACAAAAUCUAAUUGGUUAAAGCAUGGUGAUAAAAAUACAAGAUUUUUCCAACUUUGUGCUACAAUUAGAAGAAAGCAAAACAAAAUUAAUAAAAUCAAAGAUGGCAAUGGUAUUUGGUGGUAGAGGUAAGGGCUUGGAGCAAGUUUUUGUGCAGGAAUUCAAAACGAGAUUCACCAAUCGAUCCAACCCCCCUCCUCACUGCUGAGCACACCAACUUGAUCUCUCAUGUAAUAAAACCAUGCAUUUCGAAUGAUCAUAAUACCAUGUUAACUGAGGCUCCUUCAAGUGACGAGAUUUGGAAUGCUAUUAAAAGCAUGGAGGCUCUUAAAGCCCCAAGGCCGGAUGGUAUCCAUGCGAGUUUCUUCUAAGAAUGCUGGGAGGAGGUAGGGCCUUCAAUGUGCAAUGUGGUGAAAGACUUUUUUGUAAUUAACACAAGCCUAAAGUUAAUCAACCAUACCAACAUUGCCCUAAUCCCAAAAGUGGAGAAUCUGGAAACAAUCAAUAAUUAUCGCCCAAUCAACCUCUAUAAUGUUAGCUACAAGAUUAUAACGAAAGUAAUGAUCAUUAGGUUAAGGCCCCUUUUGCAGGAGUGUCUUUCGCCCAACCAAUGAGCCUUUGCUUCAGGUAGGUCAAUACAGGAUAAUAUCCUUAUUGCUCAUGAAUUGUUCUCAACUUUUAACAGGAAGAAAGGUAGAACUAGGUAGCUAGCUAUCAAGCUAGAUUUAGAGAAAGCGUAUGAUCUCUUAAACUAGGACUAUAUUAAAUGUGUAUUGGAAAGGUUUGGGUUUUGUACUAAGUGGAUUAACCUAGUUAUGGAAUGUAUAUCUUCAACUUCUUUUUCCAUUAACAUUAAUGGUAAGUCUCAUGGAUAUUUCAGUGCAAGUAGAGGUAUUAGGCAAGGGGACCCAUUAUCCCCCUAUAUUUUCAUCCUUUGCAUGGAACCCUUGAUUAGGAAGUUGAAUGAGUUAGCGUAUACCCCAAAAUCCCAUAUUGGCCUACUCACUUCCCCGUUUGGCUACAAAGUUUCUAAUCUUGUUUUUGCAGAUGACUGCCUUAUCUUUGCCAAAGCAUCUCCAAGGGGUGCCAUGAAGGUUUUAGAAGUUCUAAAUUGUUUUGCAAGUGCUUCGGGUCAACAAAUAAACUUCAACAAGUCUUCUUUAUACUUUCCCUCUAAUACAACUAACCAGUUACGAAGUGAAAUUGUUAACAUUCUUCAUAUUCAACAUAAGAUCACCAUUGGAAAAUAUCUCGGUAUACACAACAUUGUGUUUUGGAAUGACCAUUUAAAUGGGAACGAGCUAAUUAGGAGAUUCAAACAAAAACUUGCUGGUUGGAAGGCCAACACCCUUUCAAAGGAUGGUAAAUCGCCAAAAUGGUCCAUAAGAUUUGCAUAACUCAUCACUUUGAUCCCUGAGAUUCCAAAUCGAUAAAAGUGGUCAUUGAGAUUGUCCACCAUCCAUCAUUUUGGUCAUUAUGUUAAAAACUCCGUUAAGUGUCCCGGAGCUCUUAGCCGGAAGUUUGGGCAAUUUUCAAAGCUUCAUAACUCAAUUGUUUCUUAACCAAAUUCGACCCAUAAUUUAUCAAAAUGAAGAUAGAAAAGUGUAGAAUAAGAUUAUACCUAUUUCAAAGCUGAAUGGUUGCUAGAGAUGGCAGGAAAAUAACCUCAAAGUUGACUGGUCCGAGUGAAAACUAGGGGUGGGCAAACGGGUCCUGGACCCGCGGGUCGGGGCGGGUACGGGGCGGGUCCAAAAAUAAGAAGGAACGGGCCCCCGGCCCGGCCCGUUUGUAGCAUGCAAUAAUGGAUUGGAAUUGGAUUAGAGUGAUGUUGUGGCCCACUGGCCCUUGACUUACAAGGUCACCCACCAAAUUGGACCAAAUUUGGGAGGCCUUCAAGGUCUCUGUAACCAAUACGUGUCAGAGCAUUUUUAUAUGGUUUAAUUGAAUCCAACUCUCCAACUUUUUUAUCCCCUCAUCUGAUCUCCAGAGACUUUCAUGAUUUCAUCAACCUCCAUUUUCCAUUCAUUCACACUUGAGCUUGUGUCGAGUUCUCGACAACAGUCCGACUUCGCCGAUUUCGCGGCAUUCUUGACUCGAUCUACUACCUCGUCGCCACGAUCCAGGACUGGGAUAGACUCUCAUGGCCGCCGACUAGUCCGUCUGCGUUGCGCAUGUGGGUUUCUUACGGAGCAGGCCACUAUUCCUCUCCCUAACUCGUCUUCUCCUCUCUCCUUGACUCGUUUUUUCUGGGUUUUUUUAUGGUUCUGAUUUUGUGUUGGUUGGGUUUAUUUUUUAUGGUUCUGAUUUGUCGCCUUCUCCUCUCUCCCAGAUGACGAAGGAAGAGGGCUUGAACGGUAUGAGCUGCAUCUGGGUUGUCGCGGAGGAAACGGGGUUCGACGACUGAGGAAGACGACUUGAACCACGUCGUCCCUUUCUGUGUUGACGAAAAAAAUUAUGUAAUAGGAACUGUGUACCUGCCCCGAACCGGCCCGUUUGAAACGGGCCGGGUUAGGUCCGGUUCUAAAACUCUAAAGCACUCUACCCGGCCCGGCCCGCCUCGUUACAUUUUAAAACAGGUAGGUCCGGUUCCUUCAAAUUUGAGCCCGGCCCGACCCGUGCCCAGCCCUAGUGAAAACUUGAAAACUCGCCGGAAACUAGGUAAACUUUAAACGUUCAUAACUUCUUCAAUACUCAACGAAAUCAAGUGAUUCAAAAACGAAAAUCAUACAUCUCGAUGAGAGAAAGAGAAUGGUACCCUUUUUUAUGGCUAACUAGUCGUAGUUUGGCCGGAAAACGGCUUGAAAGUGGCUAACUCGAGACUAAGAUAGCCACUUUCGAGCUGUGUUCCGGACAAAUCAUAGUGCGUUAGCCAUAAAAAAGGUACCAUUCUCUUUCUCUCGUCGAGAUGUAUGAUUUUCGUUUUUGAAUCACUUGAUUUCGUUGAGUAUUGAAGAAGUUAUGAACGUUUAAAGUUUACCCAAUUUCCAACGAGUUUUCAAGUUUUCACUCGGACCAGUCAACUUUGAGGCUAUUUUCCGGCCAUCUCCGGCACCAUUGGGCUUCAAAAUAGGUAUAAUCAUAUUCUACACUUUCUUAUCUUCAUUUUGAUAUAUUAUGGGUCGAAUUUGGUUAAGAAACGAUUGAGUUACGAAGCUUUGAAAAUUGCCCAAACUUCCGACCAAGAGCUCUGGGACACUUAAUGGAGUUUUUACUAGAAGGAUUAAAAUGAUGGAUGAUGGAAAAUCUCAGAGACCACUUUUAUCGAUUUGGAAUCUCAGGGACCAAAGUGAUGAGUUAUGCAAAUCUCAGAGACCAUUUUGGCGAUUUACCCUUCAAAGGCAAGAAGACUCACUCUUGUCCAAUCAAACCUUUCAGGUAUGCCUAAUCAUAUUAUUUCUUGUUUUAAAUGCCCUUUAAGUUAAUAAGCAAAUUAAACAGGGAUUGUAGACAGUUUUUAUGGGGCAAUAGUCAUAAAUGUAAUCCUGCGAGUUGGAAGGAAAUUUGUAGACCAAAGAGUGCGGGUGGCUUAGGUAUCAGGAACCUAGACCAUUUGAAUAAGGCUUGUCUUGCUAAACUAGGUUGGAAAGUGCUUUUUGAUAAGGAUAAUUGUUGGGCUAAUAUAGCCAGAAGAAAAUACCUUAGAUACAUAUGAUGGGUUUCUAGACACCAAAACUAAGCAAAACCACUCGCUUGCCUAAAAUCCUGGGGUCCCGAGACAUUAUCAGUAGGGGUAUGAGGUGGGUGAUGGCAAGGACAUCAUGUUCUGGACUUUCUGGACUCACAACUGGGUUUUUCCUCACCCUCUCUUUCAUCUCAUCCCAGAAAAUCAAGGACAUGAAAUUCAAUAGGGAGAUCAAGGUUGCUGAUUUUAUUGUUGACAGGCACUGGGAUAAGAAUAGGUUAAAUCAAGUAAUAGACACCUAUACAGCAAAUAAAAUCUGUAAUAUUCCUAUUCCUAUUCAUUCUUCCAAGGAUGCAGUUGUCUAGGGGCCUAGUAAUAAUAGUAAGUUCACGGUAAAAUCUGCAACUUGGUUUCAAAUGGAGGAUCUUGGCCAUUCCCCAUCUCAAAACCUUAUAAAUAGAGUGUGGAAGCAAGUCUUGCCUCCCAAACUAAAGUUAUUUGCGUAGAGUCUCAUCAAAGGUAAACUUCAAACUAGAAAGAAGCUAAGCAGGUUCAUUCCCAAUAUAAAUACUCAGUUCCCCAUGUGCAACAACCAAGAGGAAGAUAUUGAUCAUCUGUUCCUCCACUGCCAGUAUGCUAAGUAGGUUUGGAGUUGUGCCACUGAUAUGUCUUUAUCAAAUUUUGAUAUCAACCUCAAGAUAAGUGAUUGGUUUGUGAACCUCUCUCACAAAAAUUCGAAUGCUGUAAGCAAUUUUAGCAAAGCUAUUUCUAUUUGCUGGCAGAUUUGGAAUGGUAGAAAUGGAUGCAUUUUCAGGAAAGAAAGGCAUAUCCAUACCAGAGCUUUUAUCCGGGCUAUGUCUAUGGUUAAUGAGUAUUUCAAGGAUAAUGUGAAGAGCUGGGAAAAUACGCUGGUAACAAGUGAUGAUAAAGUGAUCAAAUGGAAUUGUCCAUCGUACCCAUAUGUUAAAAUAAAUUUCGACGGUUCGGUGUCAAACUCCUUGGCGGCGGGAGGUUUCAUUAUCAGGAACUGGAGCGGUAAACCUAUUCUCGCUGGUGCUAUGAGUUUGGGGUCUUCUACCAUCAAUGUUGCUGAGGCCAUGGCGCUGUGUGAGGCACUAAUCUGGGCUAGGAGGAGAAACUUGACGCAUGUGUGUGCGGAGGGUGACUCAAAACUUAUCAUUGAUGUUGUUCGUGGUGCUUGCGAAACACCGUGGAACUUGAGGUCUAUCAUUGAAGAUAUCAGGUAGUGUGCCUCUUUCUUCCAGGAUAUCAAGUGGGGGCAUGUUUUCAGGAAGGCGAAUUUUGUUGCAGAUGUUAUGGCAUCUAUUGGGCUGAAAAUGGAUAAUCUUUGUAUAUGGGAUCCUUGUCUUCCUGUCGAAGCAAACUUAGCCCUGUUAUUUGAUUGUAAUGGCUCCGGCUGUGUGAGGGGCUUCUCUCUUUAAUGAAGUUUUAUUUUUCCAUAAAAAGAAUAAUUAAAAAAAAGAGUUAAGUUCUGCUGUGACUAGUUUUAUGGACAAGUAAUUUACCCAGAUUCAAAAACAUUGUGUUUCAUCUGAGAAAUGUUACUCCAAAUGCACCCGUUUUGUCAUUCAAGAUCGUGCACAGUUUCGUUGUUUUGCUAUAAGCGGGUUCUUGAAUUUGUUGAGGCACAUUAUUAGUGAAAUAUAAAUUGAGAAUGUCUUGUGUUACAAUUUACAAACUACAGGUUUUCACACAUUUUGCUGAUGCAUUUCCUUAGUUGACACGACAAACUUUUUUCCGGGAGAUUAUUGUGCCUGUAUAGUGAACAAGAACUCUCAAGUUUGUUAAUAAAGAUGAAACAAAUCGUAGGCGAAACUGAAGAACAAGAAUCUACACAUCAACAACUAAUUUUUGUGACUUGUGAACUGGGAACAUGCAUCAGUAAGAAACAAUGUAAAAAGAAAACAAAUUAUAAGACGCAUUCAAUGUUUUCGCACUUCUGGAUUUUUGUCUGCGCCUUAUAUUACGUCUAAGAAUCAUACAAGCUAGGGAAGACGCCGUUCUCUACAUUUACAGGUUCAAUCCACCGCAGUGACAACAAGAAUAACAGAAAAUAUGUAAGUAAGCAUAAAUCCUCAUCAACAUAAUAAUUCGGUCAGUUUUGGUUUGAAAAAGGAAGUUGAUCACUAGGAGCUUCCAAACCCAAGAAACUGGUCUACUAGUUUUGCUACAGACUUUGCCAAGCUGUCUGCUGCAUUCUGUGUGGAUGCCUCUGCAUAUACGCGUAUAACAUCUUCUGUUCCUGAUGGUCGUAUAAAACAUCGGCCUCUAGGGUAUUUAACCGCAAUCAACAGGGAAAAUCCUCAAAAAUUUGUUUGUAAAUUGUAUAUACCAGUAAAAUUAGGAAAAAUGGCAAAUUUUCCUGUGCAACAAACAAAUACUGCUAAUCAACUUAACGGUGCAGACCAAUAAUCAACACGGAUAUCGUGCAGAGCAAAGGACUGAACUGUAUGAAAAAUGAAAGGAGAAAUCUACUUACCGGUUUCAGCGUCAAUGGCUUCUUGAAUGCCAGGGGGUGUCACAGCAGCCACAGUUUCUGCAUUUUCUGUAACAACAGCAGUUCUGUCCAUAACCUUGACCUGAUAAUUGUGAAGCAGAAGAAUUAGUUUCUAGGCACGUUGCGUCCAACAAGAAUAUGGAGGAAACUCAAUUAAUUUUUAAAACAGAUAACAAGAAAGCCCGAAAAGAAAACAACCAUAAAGACAAUAAACUGACCAUAAGAUAGACAGAUGACCAAGGAAACUUGCCUUAAGCUGCCUACUGGGUAGAUCCUGAUAAAGCUCAUUCCACCUCUGUAUCGACCACCCCAUAUGUUUCAGAAUGACCUCAACCAAGAGUACCCCACUCAACGCGUCCCCAACAGCCUGGUUAAUUAAUUCACUAACAGCCAAGAUUCUCAAAGCUGCCUUAUGCUGUUCUGAACCUGAAAAGAAACAAUCAUGUUCUUCAUUUAGAUAGGUAACGGACGAUCAUGUCAGCACUAAUGUAGUGGAUAAAGACUGCUUUAACCUUUAAAUGCAUCAGCAAGCUCAGUAGUCCUGGUCUCUAACCAGCGUAAGUAAUGUUCUGAGAACAAGAUGGUGCCAUGACCAUUUGCUUCAAAGUAAAUCCCAAUAUCAUACUUGGCAGCUUUCUCAUGAAGGUAUUUCACUCCUGUAGGAGUAAAAGUGACUUCUAGGCCUAACUGUUUGAGAUAAUCCAUGGAUGCUCCGUUUGGAUAAGCUGUUUGCACAAUACCAAGGCGACAUUGAUAAUCAUUAUUUCCAUUAACAUCUAUUUCCUUACUCAAAAUGCUUAGUUGCUCCUUGAUGAAUAUAGCAAACAAAGAUAAAAUCUUGUCCCCAUCGACGAGUUCAAUCUUAUUACUACUUCUAGAUGGCACAAUAAAAUAUACAAGCCGAUCAGCAUCACCAUCCAAACUAGCACACCUGAAAAGCUAGAACCAUCCAUACAGUUAGUCCCUGCCUUUGACAUCUAAUGUAACACUUUAGAUCAGUAGUUGAGCAUUACUAAUUGACCAAAUAGAAAAUUUAAGUAGUUUGAAACCCCGAAACAAUGGUUGGAUAUUGCACACUGGCAUCCUUUGGUACCAAACUAGUAUUGGGGUAAAAACAUAUUUAAAAUAAAACCAAACUUGUAUCGUAGCCAACAAAUGUUUGCAUCAAUGAAAAGAUACAUCCAUUGUAAGCAAUCCAACAAGUUGUUAAAUCGGAUCAAAAUUCAAGUUUUCCAAUAGUAGUAUGCUAGUACGACAAACUUUAGUAAUGUUUUCCAAUGUGUUGCAAUAAAGCAUACGAUAAUAAUAACAAAUCAACAAGCCACCAAAAUUCAGGGUUUCUCCCAUCUAUCUCAUAAUCUCAUUAACGUAGUAUAUGUACUUGCAUCCAUAUGUACACAACAGAAUUUGUCAGGAUAAUGCAAUCAUCAGUCAUUCUCCAGCAAUAUCUCUAUGAUGCAGGCAUUUCAAGCAAGUUACUUUAAGUAACUGAUAAUCAAAAUUCAUUUCACAAUCCACAUAUAACUGACCUAAUCCCAACAUCCUGUGAACCAAAACUACAAGGAACGACCUUUUCUUUCUGCACAUGAUCAGCACCAACUCCUUCAUUCAGUACACCCAGCUCCUUCUUUUCCGGAGUUCCGAAUCUCAAUAACCAAACCAGUCAACAUCGUCUUCAAAAGUUCCCAGUUUUUCUCCACCAACACCAUUUGCCCCAUCCACAACCAACUUGUCAUCCACAUCACUGGGAUGAGUUCCACUAGUAAUCAAAUCUACCAAGCACCUAACCAGCCACACAAAACACUUAAUGAAGGCAUUCAAACAACAAUGAAUUUUUUUAAAGAUCAAACUAACUCAUUACACAAAACUCUAGCUCCAACUAACCUAAAUGAGCUUGAAAGCUGCUUGAAGUAAUCGUUGUCUGAUACUUUCAAACCCUUAUUUCUAGCACGAACCAUCCAGUGUAGUUGUGGAGUAGUUAAAAUUCCCAAGUCAUGGGCAACCGCUCCAAUAAUUGAACUGAUUCCCUUUAAAGGAACAAAUGCUAAGAAAUGAGGAGCGUAAAACGAUUUAGAAACUGCAUGGUAAGCAAUGGUAAAAGAGAAGAUACCUGUUUAGCAGCCUCAACCAGAGAUUCUCCACUGGAUCUUGUAUCUCUUGCCAACAAUAUCUCCACGGAUUUUGCUCCAUCGACUGCGAUUUUUUCAUUUUCAACAAAUUCAGCUAUCAACUGUUCAAGAGUUCAAUCAGCCUUGUACACAAAUUCACAAGAAGAAAAGAAAGGAGUGAGCACGCGCACACACACAGAAAGGCUAUAUAGAAAAAGAAAAACAGACAUGAACAAGCUGUUGGGGAUCACGAGCAUUGGUGAGGGUAUCAGCGAAUGGCUCCCAGUCUUGAGAAAGCAUUCCACCACUCGGGUCAGCAACUUUGACUCCAUUAUCAGAGACUUUGUUGUGAGAUGCUGUGAUCAUCAGGCCGAUCACUGAUUGGAUCUUGAGGGCCCUUGGAGCAGCCAAAAUUCCCACCCUGUAAAGUGUGGAUUGGAGGAUUGAGGCAUCAGCUCUGAAGCCAGCCGUUCCAUACGAUAGUUUCACACCUGGUGUCAACUUCUCAAAAUUAACAAACCAGAAACCGAAUUCCGUUGAGAGGAAAGGGAAAAUGCGAGAGGGAGAGAAAUGUGGACCUUGUGGAGGCGGGAAGCGAGAUGAGGAGCUGAGGAGGAGUGAACGUUGGUCUUUAUUCAUGGUUUGUUAAUCCCGAUUGAAACUAACAUCAAAGAGUUUGAGUUUCAGGCAUAUAACUAGCAAUAGUGCCCGCGCGUUUGCUGCGGGUCUUAAAACUACUGGACAUAAAAGAAGAAAACAGCCAGUGCAAACUUGUAAUGGAUAGUUUGUAAUUAAUAGGUUUUUAGUAUGUUCAUGCUAUUUAAACACAGAAAAUAUAAUAAGAAAAAGAAGUUGAGUGUUGGCAAAAAGUGAUGUAAUUUGUGGCAUACCUGUAGUUAGACCUGUGUAAUCGAUUUAGUUGUGAACACUGGUAACAUGUAUAACUCAGAGAACAAAAAAUAGCAGAAACUGAAUAAGAAAAUGAUGUGCAUAGAGAAUAUACUGCAGUAACUAUAAAUUAAGGUUAGAAGUGUUUUAAUUUUGAUAUAAAUUUGUGGUCAAGAAUUAUGCAUAAGAGGAUAACUGCUUUUAUGAGUGAGCAUAUAAUAAGUCAAAACGAUUAUUAAUAAUUAACGAAAUGUUUGAAGUAAAAAAAAAUAUACAUUUGAUGUUGAAAUUCGAUAUCAUAAUGUAACUGUAACUUAUUAGAAGGGUUUAAAUUGGCAUUAACUGGUCUGUAACAGUUUGUCCAAUUAUAUUGAAUAUCAUUAGACCAUGUUGUGAUACGAUGUUACUGGAAAACGAAGAAAAAAUUAUAUAAGCUAUUAGAAACAAUAUACAAUUGUAAAUGUAAAGUUGUGUAAUUUGAUUCUUAAUAAGCAUGCAUAUAUACCGUUUGGAUAUGAAGAAUUAAAAAGCAUAUAGAGCUGUGCACUUAGUUGAGGUAAGAGUUUAGAUGAUGGGAAUCCAUGCUGAUAAUUUGUUGAGGAAAACAAAACUUUAGUUUGAUGUUCAAGCAGAUGGGAACAGACAGAAAGAACAAAAGGUAAAAUACAUAAUAAAAAGAAGAUGAUGUCCAAAGAUUGGAAAAGCAGGUUAAGAAGUAAAUUUAUGUUUAUACCGACUAAAAUGAUUGUCAAAUUUGCAGCAAGCUAUCUUUGAAUGAAUAAAAAAUAGGGUAAAAAUUGUAGGCAAAUUUGAUCAGGUGAACUGGAGAAAAUUGAAAACCAGGAUUAAAAAUGCAUCACAAAUGAGAAUAUGGUGUAAAAUGAUAUGUAAGCCAGUUUUGUACUGAUUCUAAUGUAAAUAUGGGAAAACAGAUGUUCAAAGAUGGAUCCGAUAGAGCUGAUUAGGUGUCUCUGUGUAACACAGAGAUACUAUUUGCUCAGUUAUUUCAGCUUUGAUCAUUUGGAUAAAUAAUCAUCACUUCCAUAUUUUCCCUUCGGUGGGAUGAUCUUUUUGUUUUACAAUGUUAUCUAGGAAGAAACUCAUUGGAUCAUGCAAUAACAAAUAGAAAAACUAUUUAAAAGAAUACAAACAACAACAACAAAGCUUUUUUCCCACAAAGUGGGGUCGGCUAUAUGAAUCCUAGAACGCCAUUGCGCUUGGUUUUGUGUCAUGUCCUCCGUUAGAUCCAAGUACUCUAAGUCUUUUCUUAGGGUCUCUUCCAAAGUUUUCCUAGGUCUUCCUCUACCCCUUCGGCCCUGAACCUCUAUCCCGUAGUCACAUCUUCGAACCGGAGCGUCAGUAGGCCUUCUUUGCACAUGUCCAAACCCAUUUUGUGUACGUGUUGAUGCUUCACCGCCCAACCUUCUGUGCCAUACAGCAUCGCCGGCCUUAUUGCCGUCCUAUAAAAUUUUCCCUUGAGCUUUAGUGGCCUACUACGGUCACACAACACGCCGGAUGCACUCUUCCACUUCAUCUAUCCAGCUUGUAUUCUAUGGUUGAGAUCUCCAUCUAAUUCUCCGUUCUUUUGCAAGAUAGAUCCUAAGUAGCGAAAAUGGUCGCUCUUUGGUAUUUCCUGAUCUCCGAUCCUCACCCCUAAUUCAUUUUGGCCUCCAUUUGCACUGAACUUGCACUCCAUAUAUUCUGUCUUUGAUCGGCUUAGGCGAAGACCUUUAGAUUCCAACAUUUCUCUCCAAAGGUUAAGCUUCGCAUUUACCCCUCCUGAGUUUCAUCUAUCAACACUAUAUCGUUUGCGAAAAGCAUACACCAAGGAAUAUCAUCUUGAAUAUGUCCUGUUAACUCAUCCAUUACCAACGCAAAAAGGUAAGGACUUAAGGAUUGUUGAUGCACAAAAUCAGUGAGGACUUUGGUACAACAGAAAGUAUUAAGUUUGUGAUCUUUGCUAGAUUGCUCUGGUCAUUAGUGUGGAUAAGUAUGUAAAUGGAUAGAGACAUGAAAGCAAACACAAGAUGUACAUGGUUCACCCAGAUUGGCUACAUCCACGGAGUAGAGGAGUUCUCAUUAAUUGUGAAGGGUUUACACAAGUAUAUAGGUUCAAGCUCUCAUUUAGUGAGUACAAGUGAAUGAUUUAGUACAAAUGACAUAGGUUCAAGCUCUCGUCUUCACUUGCCUUAUCUGUCUCAUAGGUAGAUGUGGCAUCUUCUCUGGAAGUACUCUUCCUCCAUCCAAGGGUGGUAUCUUUAACUGGUGGAGAUGCACAAGGUAAUGUAUCAAUUUCACAUGAAGCUUACUUGUAGUUUCAGGCUUGGUCAAGCGCGAUACAAACCAUGUAGUAGGAGUCCCCCAAGUCGCUGAGCUAGGGGAUCUGCUGAAAGAGGCGACAGACAAGGUAAGCAAUCAGAGCUCCAAGAAAUCAGUCCCAGAUCAGAAGUUUGAUUUCGAGUUUCGGCUGAUUGUUCUCAUUCUCCUUAUCUUGCAGGCAGCAUGAAGGAUAAAGAGAAGAAAGAUGAUAUGAGAUACUUUUGCUUUUGAAGAAGUAACUUUCCACAGGCUUAUUCUUGAACUGGGCUGGAGGAUUUUCUGGUUUCCUCCAGAGUAUAAGGCCGACUGAAGAAUUUGAGGGUUAAAACAAGUCCAUCAAAUCUAGAGUACGUUUGACUCUGCUGAUAUGGGAUACUUUUGCUGUUGACAAAGUAGUGGAUGUAUCGGCACGUGUUCUGUUACGCUUGUCUCCACAUGUUUUCUUGUAUCCUUCUCAUUUUCCCUAUCUGUUCCUUAGGCAGAUGUUGUAUCUUCUCUGGAAGCAUAAGAUGUUGAAGAUGAGUACUCGAGAGCAAUGCCAGGUAAGUAAUCAGGUAAGGGGUUCCAGGCAGUCAGUUCCUGACUAGAAGCUUGAUUUCAAGUGCUGACUGAUUACUCUCUUUCUCCUUGUCUUGCAGGUAAGAACAAGGCCAAAGGAAAAGACAGGGAAAAAGCAUGAUAUGGGAUACUUUUGCAUUUAACCCUGAUGAUAUGAGAUAUUCUUGCUCUGGUGUAGCUUGUUUGCAGAGAGAUUAUCGGGGGGAAAGAAAGCUGAGUAUUUCGAGAGGCUUCGUUGGGAGUGCCCUCUCAGAUAUGAGGAAGGGUUGAGCAUUUUUGCAGGUCUGCCUGUCCGUUGAGGAUGGAGGUCGACAUAUAUAGGAGUUUCCCUAUCAACAAGUAGUAAUGCUAUUCCUUUACCCUGCUUGGUCAUAGCACGGUAGUGGGAGCUGCCAGCUUCACAUGUGUCAGAGCACUUUGAAAAAGUGGUCUGUGGUAUCUGGAAAGCUGAUGUUGCGUGUGAAGAUUACAGACAAACUUUAUCCAAGGAGAUCUGACUCUCGAAGUUGAGAAAGCGGUGCCUCUUUGGUUUUCGAACAAGCAAUCCUGUCGGGGAUUUGGCUCUCGAGAUUCGGAGAACGGUGCCUCUUCAAUUUUUUAGAGAGCAAUCAUGCUGGGAGUCUGGCUCUCGAGAUUCGGAUAGCCAUGUCUCUUCGAUUUUUGAGAAAGUAAUCAUGUUAGGAGUCUGGCUCUUGAGAUUCGGAGGACGGUGCCUCUUCGAUUUUGGAGUAAGCAAUCUUGUUGGGAGUGUUUUCUCGAAUGUGAGUAAAGGUUGGGCAUGUUUGCUAGUCUACCUUGCCACGGAGCAUAGAGGUUGACACAUAGGGACUUUCCAAUUAUCCAGCAGUGGUGCUGUUUCUUUACCCUUGUGGGUAAUAAUAUGGUAGCUAGACCUUCAAAAUUUAUGUGUCUAAACUUUGUUAGUGCUGUUUCUUUGCUAUUCUUUUACCCUUCUUGGUCAUAGCGAUGUAGUGGGAGCUGCAAGCUUCACGUGUCUAAACUUUGUCAGAGAUCUUUGGCAAAGUUAUCUGUGGUACCCAUGAGCUGAUGGUGCGUGUGGAAAGUGGAUGAUUGAACAGUAAGAUUCACGUGCUUUCUACUUCACCAGAAAUCUUCAAUAGAAUGCCCGUAAUUUCAGCAAAGCUGAGUGUGCAUGUGACAGGUGCUGACAAGGCUGAGAAAAGCAGGUGCCUCUUCGAUUUCUAAGAUCGGCCCUCGUGGUCUCUGAGCAGCCUAGCUUUUGAGAAAGCAAACACCUCUUCGAUUUCUGAGAUCGGCCUUCAUGGUCUUUGAGCAGCCUAGCUUUUGAGAAAGCAAACACCUAUUCGAUUUUUGAGAUCGGCCCUCAUGGUCUUUGAGCAGCCCAGCUUUUGAGAAAGCAAACGCCUCUUCGAUUUCUGGGCAGGUGCCUCUUCGAUUUCUGAAGCUCCGUCGAGUGCAGAUUUUUAUAGAGGUUGGCAUUAAGUUCCAAAGCACACUUGAAUCUUCACCGGUAGAAGCUUCCUUCUUGCACUUCUAAGAUCUUGAUUUGUCCGACCUUUUCUCUCUUCAACACCUUUGAAAAUGUCUGGCCCCUCCGACCGUCGUUUUGACUUGAACCUUGUUGAAAAGGCAGCCAUGCCUUCUUCAGACAACAUAUGGCACCCAUCCUUCUUAUCCCCUACUGGUCCUCUUACCGUUGGGGAUUCCGUGAUGAAGAAUGAUAUGACUGCUGCGGUGGUGGCCAGGAACCUUCUCACUCCCAAAGAUAACAGACUACUUUCCAAACGGUCUAAUGAGUUGGCUGUUAAGGAUUCUCUGGCUCUAAGUGUUCUGUGUGCAGGUUCUGUGUCUAAUAUGGCCCAACGCCUAUUUGCUCGAACCCGCCAAGUUGAAUCAUUGGCGGCUGAAGUGAUGAGUCUCAAACAGGAGAUUAGAGGGCUCAAGCAUGAGAAUAAACAGUUGCACCGGCUCGCACAUGACUAUGCUACAAACAUGAAGAGAAAGCUUGACCAGAUGAAGGAAUCUGAUGGUCAGGUUUUACUUGAUCAUCAGCGGUUUGUGGGUUUGUUCCAAAGGCAUUUAUUGCCUUCGUCUUCUGGGGCUGUACCGCGUAAUGAAGCUCCAAAUGAUCAACCUCUGAUGCCUCCUCCUUCUAGGGUUCUGUCCAGUACUGAGGCUCCGAAUGAUCCCCCUCCGGUGCCUUCUCUUUCUGGGGCUCUACCGACUACUGAGACUUCUCCUAAGCAACCUUUGUGAAGGCUCCCUCUUGUUUGUUUAUUUUGACUCAUGUAUAUGUACAUAUUUGUACCUUAUCGGAGAUAUCAAUAAAUAAGCUUUGCUUCAUUUCAACGUAUUGUGUUAAAUACACCAAAGCCUUCUUCAUUGAGUGGGGUCGGCUAUAUGAAUCUUAGAACGCCAUUGUGCUCGGUCCUGUGUCAUGUCCUCCGUUAGAUCCAAAUACUCUAAGUCUUUUCUUAGAGUCUCUUCCAAAGUUUUCCUAGGUCUUCCUCUACCCCUUCGGCCCUGAACCUCUGUCCCGUAGUCGCAUCUUCUAACCGGAGCGUCAGUAGGCCUUCUUUGCACAUGUCAAAACCAUCGUAACCGAUUUUCUCUCAAUUUUCCUACAAUUUCGGCUACUCCUACUUUACCUCGGAUAUCCUCAUUCCUAAUCUUAUCCUUUCUCGUGUGCCCACACAUCCAACGAAGCAUCCUCAUCUCCGCUACACCCGUUUUGUGUACGUGUUAAUGCUUCACCGCCCAACAUUCUGUGCCAUACAGCAUCGCCGGCCUUAUUGCCGUCCUAUAAAAUUUUCCCUUGAGCUUCAGUGGCAUACGACGGUCACACAACAUGCCGGAUGCAUUCUUCCACUUCAUCCAUCCAGCUUGUAUUCUAUGGUUGAGAUCUCCAUCUAAUUCUCUGUUCUUUUGCAAGAUAGAUCCUAAGUAGCGAAAACGAUCGCUCUUUGGUAUUUCCUGAUCUCCGUCCUCACCCCUAACUCAUUUUGGCCUCCAUUUGCACUGAACUUGCACUUCAUAUAUUCUGUCUUUGAUCGGCUUAGGCGAAGAUCUUUAGAUUCCAACAUUUCUCUCCAAAGGUUAAGCUUCGCAUUUACCCCUUCCUGAGUUUCAUCUAUCAACACUAUAUCGUUUGCGAAAAGCAUACACCAAGGAAUAUCAUCUUGAAUAUGUCAUGUUAACUCAUUCAUUACCAACGCAAAAAGGUAAGGACUUAAGGAUGAGCCUUGAUGUAAUCCUACAGUUAUGGGGAAGCUUUCGGUUUGUCCUUCAUGAGUUCUUACGGCAGUCUUUGCUCCUUCAUACAUAUCCUUUAUAGCUUGGAUAUAUGCUACUUGUACUCCUUUCUUCUCUAAAAUCCUCCAAAGAAUGUCUCUUGGGACCCUAUCAUACGCUUUUUCAAAUCUAUAAAGACCAUGUGUAAAUCCUUUUUCCCAUCUCUAUAUCUUUCCAUCAAUCUUCGUGAGAGAUAGAUUGCCUCCAUGGUUGAGCGCCCUGGCAUGAACCCGAAUUGGUUGUCCGAAACCCGUGUCUCUUGCCUCAAUCUAUGCUCAAUGACUCUCUCCCAGAGCUUCAUUGUAUGACUCAUUAGCUUAAUACCCCUAUAGUUCAUGCAAUUUUAUACGUCGCCCUUAUUCUUGUAGAUAGGCACCAAAGUGCUCUUUCGCCACUCAUUUGGCAUCUUCUUCGUUUUCAAAAUCCUAUUGAAAAGGUCAAUGAGCCAUGCUAUACCUGUCUCUCCCAAGACUUUCCACACUUCGAUCGGUAUAUCGUCUGGGCCCACUGCUUUUCUAUGUUUCAUCUUCUUCAAAGCUACAACCACUUCUUCCUUCCUGAUUCGACGAUAAAAUGAGUAGUUUCUACACUCUUCUGAGUUACUCAACUCCCCUAAAGAAGUACUCAUUUCAUGUCCUUCAUUGAAAAGAUUAUGAAAAUAACCUUUCUAUCUGUCUUUAGCCGCAUUCUCUGUAGCAAGAACCUUUCCAUCCUCAUCCUUGAUGCACCUCACUUGGUUUAGGUCCCUUAUCUUCUUUUCCCUUGCUCUAGCUAGUUUAUAGAUAUCCAACUCUCCUUCUUUGGUAUCUAGUCUCUUAUACAUGUCGUUAUAAGCCGCAAACUUAGCUUCUCUCACAGCUUUCUUCGCCUCUUGCUUCGCUCUUCUAUACAUUUCACCAUUUUCAUCGGUCCUGUCCUUGUAUAAGGCUUUACAACAUUCCUUCUUAGCCUUCACCUUUGUUUGUACCUCCUCAUUCCACCACCAAGAUUCCUUUUGGUGUGGAGCAGAGCCCUUGGACUCUCCUAAUACCUCUUUUGCUACUUUUCGGAUACAACUAGCCAUGGAAUCCCACCUUUGGCUAGCUUCCCCCUCUCUAUCCCACACACACUGGGUGAUUACUUUCUCUUUGAAAAUGUCUUGUUUUUCUCCUUUUAGAUUCCACCAUCUAGUCCUUAGGCACUUCUAAGUGUUGUUCUUUUUUCUCACUCUUUUGAUAUGUACAUCCAUCACUAACAAGCGAUGUUGAUUAGCCAAGCUCUCUCCCAGUAUAACUUUGCAAUCCUUACAAGUUAUACGAUCCCCUUUCCUCAUUAGAAGAAAAUCUAUUUGUGUUUUUGACGACCCACUCUUGUAGGUGAUCACAUGUUCUUCUCUCUUCUUAAAGAAGGUGUUGGCUAAGAAGAGAUCAUAUGCCAUUGCAAAAUCCAAGAUAGCUUCCCCAUCCUCGUUUCUCUCCCCAAAACCAUGGCCACCAUGAAAACCUCCAUAGUUGCAUGUCUCCCUGCCCACGUGUCCAUUUAAAUCUCCUCCUAUAAAUAACUUCUCCGUCUGGGCAAUUCCUUGCACCAAGUCUCCAAGGCCUUCCCAAAAUUUCUCCUUCGAACUCGUAUCCAACCCUACUUGAGGUGCGUACACACUAAUCACAUUGAUGAGUUCUUGUCCUAUUACAAUCUUGAUUGCCAUGAUUCUAUCUCCUACCCUCUUGACAUCUACAACAUCUUGUGUCAAGGUCUUGUCCACGAUGAUGCCAACACCGUUUCUCGUUCUAUUUGUGCCCGAAUACCAAAGUUUAAACCCUGAGUUUUCUAGAUCCUUUACCUUAAGACCAACCCACUUAGUUUCUUGUAGGCACAUAAUAUUUAUCCUUCUCCUCACCAUAACUUCCACUACUUCCAUAGAUUUUCCCGUUAAGGUUCUUAUAUUCCACGUUCCUAAACGCAUUCUACUCUCUUGAACUUUACCCUUCUGUCCUAGCUUCUUCACCCUCCCCCGUCCAAUAGGAUCAAAGUACUUCUUUUGUGUGUCCUGUGUAAAGUUGAUAGGAGCAUAUGCUCCCAAACAACUUUUAGUGGAGUCGUUCGAAAAGAAGUUUCUAUGGCCCCCUUGCUCAUUUAACACUGAAUCCGGGUGCCGAUGGAGAUACAGCGACCCUUGCUCACUUAUCACUGUGCUCGGGCCACACAGCGCGCCACUUACGGGUGACGCCCUAGCUUUAGCGCGAUUUGGUUUUGGAUUCAUUUUCAUAAGGAUUCGACGUAACUGAUGAGUGCCGGCUGUCGACUACCUGACGUCCUCCCCCUCCUCCUUUACCCGGGCUUGGGACCGGCAAUGUAAGAUAAACUUACACAGGCGGAGUUAAAAACUAUUUAAAAGAAUAACAAAGAUAAUUUUUGUAGUACAUGGAAAAUAUAAACUUGUUUGAAUAAAAAGCCUAAGAUGAAAGGGUCAUAUUACGUACUUGAAGUACAAAUGGUUUUAAAGGCUGUACAUUGAAGCUGCAAAAAACAAAGAGCAUCACAUGCUGAAAACAAAAAGAAAACCAAAUUGUAAGCGUAGACAGAGCAGGCAAAACAUAAAAGAAACCAAAAUUUGAAAAAUUGUUCCAUCCGGACACCAAAUGUUUCAAAAGGUUAUCAAAACGGAACAAAAUUGGUUAAUUUGUUAUGUAAGCAAAGCAAAGAAAGGAGUUGGAUUGAAGUUGAUUUAAGGCUUUUUCUGACUUGGCCAACCUAUGUGGCUAGGGCUUCAAACACUAAAACCCCGUACAAUGCACAUAAAAGUAACCACUGCCGGGUAAGCAAACAUGAGUUACUUUCAUCAAAAAUUAAAACUAAAAACAUAAACUUCAAACAGGCAAAAUCUGACAACCAGCAUAUCAAUCCAAAAUAAAAACUUCCACCACCAACAGCAUAAACAAAUUUAAAACCACAAUUAAAACUAAUGUUGACUGUCCUCCUCUCCAUGUUUGUGUUCCCUCUAUAGGAUAAAAGCGACGAAGACAAAGCUUUCCAAAAUUCUAAUAACUCUACAUAUUAUCAAUUUCCCAACAAAACACAUAGGUUCUAGCACUAACAGCAUAAAAAGUUUUAAAAUUCUUCCUCUCCCUGUUCUUAAGACAGAAAGACAAAGCUUUCCAAAAUUCCAACAAAUCCUCUCAUUUCUUCCCAAAAAUUAUAAAUCCAUUUUCAUCCUACAAUUAUUAAUGCAUUUCGAAACUGUAAAAAAGCAGGACAUAAAACUUACCCAGAAUAUAAGAGCAGCGUCACAGGUGCUAGCAAAUGUCAGAUUUAUUAACAGAGCAACCAAAAUGCAAAAUGCUCUUUUAGCCGGGAAAGGCCUAACAGAGCACCACAACUGAAAGAACAAUGAAAUCGUUAGGUUUUUUUUUUUUCCAAAUAAGCAAAAAUCCAAAAUAAAAAUUGAAAGACAACCAUUAUAAAAUACACCUUAGCUGAAUAACAUCUGUUCCGCAGCGAUCUGAUGACGGGCCGCGACCAAAACAGGUUGGAAAUUGGCCAAAGUUCAGCCACAACCCAAAAAUCUCAGGCAGAAAAAAAAAGAAUAACACUCUGAAUUAUUGCCCGAUCGCAACUUUGGAAACCUUGGAAACCACUUUUUUGUGGGGAAGAAGACUCUCGAAGUCAAGAGAAUAAGGAUGGCGGACACGCAGACAACACGGGUAAAAACGUCAUUUCAACGUACGAAGCAGGCCAGACAAAGGAAAACAAAUGAUUGACCUAGGGGCAGUUCCGCCUUUCACUAUUUAUGAACAGUGCCGGUUUCAACUAAGUUUUAGUAUAUAUAAUGUAUACAUUCACAUACAGUUAAAUAUACAUACAUACAUACAUACAUAUAGAUAUAUAUAAAAUCUCGUUACUGAAACCUGCAACCAUUCUUUCUAAUAAAAUAAUCAACAGAUGAAAUUUUGUUCUUUCUAAUAAAAUAAUCAACAGAUGAAAUUUUGUCCAAUCAACCAAAAUUUACCCAAAGAUAAUAACUAUCCAGAUAGAACAAAACCCAAUUAAUUAAUUUUCACAAAUUACUGAAUCCAUAUCAGUUUACAAGAAUGAUUUCAGGCAAUACUAAGGGCUGGUUUGGUAUUGCUGUACUUUGAAAAAAAAACUGCUGUGAGAAUAAGCGGUUGUGCUGUGAGAAUAAGCGACUGUGAAAUAAAUCAGCGGAGUGUUUGGUAAACUUUUUUGUAAAACUGCUUUUGGAAAAAAAAAACAAUCUGAUAGUGGGUAUUUUCAUUAAAGGAGCACUGUAACUCCGUGUACUUUGAAAAAAAAAACCAGUUUUCCAAAGCUGCAAAUAGUAGCUUCAACUUUUUCCUUUGAUUUCAGCUUAUUCUCACAGCAACUUCCAAAAUAAGCCUUUUUUUUUAGUUUACCAAACACCUAAAACCCUCACAGUUUUUUUUUAUGGAUGUUUUUUUUUUUUUUUUUUUUAAGCAUCUCACUCCCAAACCACCAUUAAUAUGCAGAGAGAUGCACAAAAUCGGAUUGCAAUCAAACACUUACCGCACCUGCAGUAUCAAUGAACUCCCUCAUUUUGCUCCAGUUGAGACUUGAGACUUCUCAGAGCGUUUAAAUAGCCAAUGGCAUUUCCGUAAUUUCGUGGAUUUUCAAGCCCAAUAAUAUUCCCUUUGUUCUUAAAAAUCCUACCUGCGCGGAGUGUGGAUGGAUAUGCCGCCAAUGUUCCCAAGCAAAGCAUCAAAAACUCCAAGCAGCGACAAAGUCCAAGGGGGAGCGAUGGGUCUGCUCUCGUGGUGGAAAGGGAAUGAGUCUACACCCCUAACCAAGACCAGCCCGGAUCCGAAACCGGCCGAACCUGCUCCCGGCAUGAACGGCGCCGUUGAGGUGCCUCGACCCCCCGCCGCCGCCAACAUCACCGUCUUCGAGUUCGGAUCAGUCGCGGCUUCAGCCGAUAAGGUCACUCUCGCCGGGUACUGUCCGGUCUCCGAAGACCUGGAGCCCUGCCGCUGGGAGAUCCUCCCCGCUAGUGGCUCCGACGCGCCCCAGUUUCGAGUGGUCUUCUAAGCACUCACCCCUGUGUCUGUGUGUGUGUGAGCAGUUAAUCAUUGUAUGUUCAGACUCAGUAGUGUAAUUUCCAGCUAUGAAUGAUAUGAUGAGAAUUUCAGUUGAGGUUUUGUCGUAGACAAUUUCAAGUUUUUGGCUUUGGAUUGUGUUCAUGGAUGGACAAUUUAGAGGGGGUGGUAUUCAAUUAGGAUUUUUAGAGAGUUUCAGGGAAUUUAAAUCUAUAGAAUUUGAGAGAGUUUGAGAGAAAAAAAAAAGGAAUUCUCAGAGAUUUUGAGUGAAUUUUACAUGAUUUAUGAGAUAAUUCUUUACAUGGGGUUAGAGAAUUGCAGAGAAUUUGAUCAACAAUUUUCUUCUCUUUACGAGCUAAAAUUUUCAUCCUACUAACACCGAAGGUGACGAAAGCUAUUAAUUAAUACAAAAGCUAAGAAUAAGAAGUAAAUAAGGGUUGUGAAUUUAAAUACAAUCAGUUAAAAAUUUAGAAACGUGUUCAGAGCAUACAACUAACUAAAACUUUAAAAGAAUUAAUAAAAAUUAAAUAAAUAAGAGGAUGCAGGUCCUAAAUCGAGAGGACUCAAAUAUGCCAAUGCGAAAGCGUUGACGUAGGGAUCGUAUGUCUCGAUUCUAAAUCCUGAAAGAAGGCGCAAAACAAGGGUGAGUGGACCAAGUUUAUAUACAUACAUAAUAUAAAAACAGGUAUAAACAUAUUAACCCCCAAAGUUUUAAUAAUAAAAAACUACUAGCAUAAUAAAUGAUAGGUUUCUCUGAAAACCCUAGCAUGCUAUCAACAUCUCAAAAGACACAUCGCGGAAAUCAAAGCAUCAAUAGUCUCACAGAUUGUCUCGUAAGCAAGGUGUGCUGCCAUUAAGAUCACUGAAUAAUAAUACUCCCGGCCCAAUGCCUGCACCUAAGUCUCUGUGCCAGUGAUAACUUCCUCCCGGCCCAAUGUCUGUCUCCAUGUCCCUCAACCUUUUGCUAGGGAUUAUUUCUCACAGCUUAACUGCCAACACCAAAUCCUCACCCCAGGCGGCAUAGUGUCCACUAGGUACGCACAAAUAGUUACGCCUCUCAUAAAUAACCACUUCAUAGUAUAAAAUCAUCCAUCGUCUAUACUAUAAAGAGGGGUUUCUAAAACAUGUUCUAGCAUCAUAUCGUCAUCCAUCAGAUAGUUUACCAGUUCAUGGUUUUAUAGAAAAUACGAUAUAUCAAACUAUAGCUCAAUAUAGGCCAACAAUUAAUUCUUCACUAAAAACAUGAGACGAAAAUCAACAAAUUCAAUAAACAUGCUUAACAUAAAAUCAAAUUAUAAACUCGUAAGACAUGCUAUUCAUUUAUGCAGUUGAACUAUAAAAUCAUGUAGUUUUAGAAGAGGUCUACUCACAGAUACUCUUUAGCAGUAGAGUUGUGCGGAUAAGGAUUAAGAAUUUCCUCACUAGCAACUUCACAUAAGCACAAAAAGGUAAUAAAUAAAUAAAAGGGUUUUCUAAAGGAUUUGGGUUGGAUGGUUAGAGCCUAAUGGGUUUAGGGUAAGGGUUUUGGGCUUAGAGUCACAACAUAAAUGGCCCAAGGGCCUCAUUUUAAAAAAAUUGUAACAAAAAUAAUUAAAAUAAAAAUUGGAAAGGGAAAGGGUUUGGGCUUGGAUCCGGAUUAGAGCUUAGGUCUUAAAGCCCAAAGGUUUAGGGUUUUGCUCCACAGGCCGAAGGCCCUAGUUUUCCCAAGGCCCGAAGGCCUGUUCUGAAAGGGUUUAGGAUUUCAGGGUUCUCUGGGCUCAGCCCAGACCCACACGGCCCUAAGGCUUGAUUUUGAGAAGGUUUUGGGGUUAAGCAAAAUGGGCUUAAGGCCCGUGGCCUUUUGAGAACGGCCUAAAGGCCUGGUGCUCACCAGAGAAGGACACCGGAGCUUCUACAGCUCCGACCGACAGCAAACACAUGACUUAGGCUCCUAAUUAGGAACCAAAACGUAGAGGAAGGUAAGAUGAGUAUUUCUAUACCUUGGGUUUGCCGUGAAAAGGCCGGAGGUGACCAGAAAUCCCCUUGACAGCCACGGGUUCAUCGGAGAUGGGUUUGGCACACUCAAGCCGAUUUCCUUUAAAAACCUUGUAAAAUGACGAGUUAAAGCUUAAUAUAUCUCAACCACGCAACAACCAAGACAAAUUUAAGGUAAUACAAAGCUUACCUAAUCAGAAAAUCAAGGGAACUCGCCAGAGAGUUCCUGGGUUCCACAGUCCCAGCUGCGCCUAGAGAGAAAGGGAGAGAAAGGCGAGGUUGAUGGUAAUGAUGCCUUCUUCGCAAGUGAUGCAGCUGUGAGUGUGUGUUCAUGGGAAAGAAAAGGAGAGAGACGAAAGGGUUUAGAGAGAGAGAGAGAUAGAAGUACAGAGAAAGAGAGAGAAGGAAAGAGGGGUCACGGGGUGGGGGACCGAAGAGAGAAAAUGGAGGUUAGUUAGGGUGCUGCCACAUGGCAGUUUAAGGGAGUUUGAGAAUCAAGAUAGAGGGUCCAGAUUUGGUUAAGAAAAGGGACUAAAAUGAUAAAUUAAAUAAAACUUUGGAAAAUUAUAAAAUUACAUAUAAAUUCGCGGGUGGGGUUUAACAGUUUUCAACUAGCUAUAAGAGUUAAUAAUAGCUAAGAAUAUGUUUAUGAAACGAGUUUAAUCAAGACAUGGUUAAGAUAAGUACUAAUUACUAACCUUAAAAUAAGGGUAAAAUCUUGUACUUUCUUUUAUUUUAGUUGGCACCAUGGAUCUAGGUUGGACCAUCAAAUCUGGUGCAAUUGUGUUCAAGGCCUUCAAAACGUUGUUGAAAUUUUUGCUUGUUGUAAAAUGUGACCACCGAAAUGUGUCCAGAGUUUGGCAAUAUCGAGAAUUUUGACCAAUAAUGAGUAGAAAUGUAGCAACCAUUUCUUCAAUACAAAUAAAUCUUGUACCCUUCAAAUGCGUCUUUUCCGUAAAGACGUCACAUAGCUUUAAGAAAACAUUCGGAUACAUCCUAUAUAGCACUUGAAAUUCUUGAGGAUCCUUAUUCAAUACCUUGUUAAUAUAAUCAUAUCCAAUUCUACUAAUAGGUCGUCGAGCCAAUGGACGUUCAAUAUGAUCAUCAUGUAUAAUAACCAUUAACGCAUUUAGCACUUGAACUAUUGCUUGUACUGCCAUCAAUAGUAACUUAAUGGCUUCAUGAUAUUCUUCAUCUUCCCUUUCCAUUUCCUCUUCAGACAUGUUUUCAAACAUUAUAUAAAGAAUCACCUAAAAAAGCAAAACUAUAUCCAUUAGAACAUAAGACCAACUCCAAUGGUUGGGCUAAAAGCCAAAUUUUUUAGCCCAUAAAAAACAUUUCUAGCUCCAACCAUUUGGAUUAAAAUUUAGCGGGAACUUUAAUGAAAAAGCUUAAACUAAGUUUAUUUUAACAAAAAACUAUGCUAUAAACUUUAUUUAAUGAAAAAGAAUUAAAUUUUAAUAAAAAGGACAAAAAAAUUUAAUUUUUAAUGAAAAGAACACAAUUUAUAAUAAUAAUAAAUAAAAAAACAGGACGCGAGUAGUACCUCUACACUGUUUAUGAAACUGAGCACUAUUUAUGAAACUGCACUAUUUAUGAAACUUACUACACUAUUUAUGAAACUUACUACACUAUUUAUGAAAACUUACAACAUUGUUUAUGAAACUUACUACAUUGUUUAUGAAACUUAACUUAUUACACUGUUUAAGAGGCACCGUCGUCGCAUCCAUCUGGGUUUUUUUCUUCUCAACUUGUACUCUACUUGGAUCAACAUGGUUAGUAUCGAUCUCCAGGUAAAAAUAUGAGCCGGUUUGAGGUCCAUAUGAGAUAGGCAUAGCUAAUCCAAAUAGUAAAAAUUCAGUUUGAUAACUCCACUCUUUCAACAGGUAAAAAUAUGAAGUGCAGAUGUAUGGGUAUAGAAGUUUACUUGCUUUUAAAGAAUUUAAACUCUGCAAGCAGAAAGUGUAGCAAGCAGCAAAAUAUAACAUCUAGGAAUGAUGACGAGAGAAAGAGAAAAAUUGGACUACUAGGAUAAAACAACAAAAGAACAGAUAAGAACAUAGAGAAAAACCAAAAGGAAGAAAAAAUAUAAAAGAGUAUUUUCCCACGUUCAUCACCCUCGUAGAUUGACCCAUACAAAAAUUUGAAAUUAAGAAGUAAUUUCAUGAUAAUUGCUCUGCAAAUGUCAGUUCUGGCUCGUAAUUUGGGAACAGUUGCUGAAAAAACCCUAGAAAAAGAACUGAACUUUUCGAUUGAGCAUGAAAAUAUUUAUACUUUCUCGUGUGUUUUCUCGGCAAACAAACAAGUUGAUGUAAAAAUUAAAAUUUCUUGAGAGAGAGUACGGACUAACAAGUUGUAGGCAGAAUGCUUUCUAUGGAGGUUCUUCUCCGAAUCGAUUGCCAUGGCUUCCAUGGCGGGAAAAUAAGAAAGAGUCAGGGUUGUAAGUGGUGGAUCAUGUAUUGACAGAGGUGCAGGGCUUGCACGUGUUUUGUUAGGUAUUUUUUAAUUGUUUUUCUUUCUCUUGUCUUUAUCAUUAAAUAGAGUUAGUGGGUGGUUUUUGGUUAAAACUUAAAGUUUUGAAACCUUUUUCAUUAGUUUUCCUUUUAAUCCCGGAAUCAUUAAAGAAUGUAUUUAAGCUAUUUUUUUUUAUUAAAUUAAAUUUAAAAAAAAAAUAUGUAGACUAUCGUAAAUUAAUUUUAUGAACAUUUUAAUCUAAAAAUAUUUAAAUUCCGAUAAAUAUUGAAAAAUCACUAAAUUUUCCACAAAGCAAGCCUUCAACUUUCCACCAAUCUUUCAACCUUGGGCUAACUUUCAAUUCACCAACAGUUCAACACCAAAUUUUCAAUUCACCAACCGUUCAACACCAAACUUUCAACUUUCACCAAUUGUUCAACUUUCAUCAAUCAUCCUCUAUAUAAACAUAUGUCCAAUAUUAGUUGAUCACACAACCUUUCAACCUUCAAUCAUCCUCUAUAUUCACCAAUCUGUCAACUUUCAAAGAGUUUUUGUUUCCUAAAAAUCCUCAACAUCUCAUCAAUGGGUGAUAGAAGAAGGCGUAGCAUGACAAUGUAGAUGACACAAAACCAACCAAGGAAUAAUAAGUACAAUAAGGCAUCUAGAUUAAUAGAAACAAUAAUUAAUAAGACAUAAAUUGAAUAAAGUACAUAAACCACAUAAACUUAAUACAACCGAUAAUUCAUAAACCACAUAAUUAUUAAACUACAUAAACUUAAUACAACUGACAAUUAAUAAAGCAACAUCUUCGCUAACACAAACCCAUGCCAAACAUAAAGCAACAUAUUCCUCACAGGUCCAAUUACGACCUUUAAUAUGCUCUAUUGCCAUGUUGAACAAUUUGGAAAUGAAAAGAAAUGGUAGAAAGAUAAAUUGGAAGAAUUGUAGGAGAAAAUUGAGUUUUGUGUGAAUGUUUGAACAAAUACAUAGGUAUUUAUAGAGUUUUUGGGUGAAUUUUGAGUUAAAUAAUUUUUUAAAAUUAUUUUAGCCUUUGGAUUUAAAUUUGGGCCGUUAGAUAUUUUUUUUUUUACCGUUAGAUUUGAUUAUAUUCGAUCACAUCCGUUGAAUUCAAUAAUAUAUAAAUAUAAAAUAAAAAAAUUUGAAUCUAAGCCGUUGGAUUAACCAAUGGCCUGAUGAUCAUAGCCAUUCGAUCGAAAGAGCCGUUGGAGCUCUGGGGAACAAGGCUGACAGGCCCACGUGGGUGGGUCCCGGUAGGUCUGAAGGAGCGCGCGUUUGGCGAGUCCACAAGCUGGGUUUGGAGCCCAAACGCUGAAAACCACUCUCUUUGGUGGGGCACACUCCGAUUUUGGGCUAAAUUUGGGCGGUUUCUGGCCUUACUUCCCUUUUUAGCAUCUAGCCCACAUUUUCCCCUUGGGUUGGAAUGAGUGCAGGGGGAAUUUGGGGGGGGGGGGAAGUUAGUAUUUAGCCCACCAUUGGAGGUGGUCUAAUAGAGAGAAAGGUAAAGAAACAAACUACUUCUCAUGCAAAUAACUCAUUCUUCUGCAAGAUAUCAAAAGAUGAGUAGUGGGGAAAUAUCGAAGUACGAUACAUGAUUUUGCUUUCACAACACGAAUCAAGCAACCAACUAUUCAACAUCGUAGCUUUUAAUGGUCGAGCAUUCAUUUAGUAUAUAGUCUCUCUUCAUUUAUUAGCUAAGGAAAUACAGAACGAGAUAAUUAAAGCCAAUUCAAACUAGUACCACACCUUGCAAUAUCAAGUGCAAGUUUUACAUCUAUGAAAUAUACUCUUCGUACUAUUUCGAAAUACAGAAAAAUAAGAACUCAGGAAAUAACCAAAACUUAUACAAACCAUGGCAUUAAUAUUCCAUAUUAAGAAUACCAAUGGAAUGGGAAAAUACCUUGGGCAAAUAAACAAACUACUUCUUCUAUCAUUUAAACCAAAGUCAACUUAUUAUCAAACAAAUUAGAUACUCCAAGAUCAAAUUUGAAAUAACCAAACCAAAGCCAACAUGUUAUCAAACAAAAGUAAAUACUCCAAGAUGUAAACAAAUCUAAAAUAACCGCAUUCACUCGAUAUUGUAUUUUCCAUUCUGAGCGUUCUUCUGGUGUCAUUUUCAAGAACUCUUUUUUCAUUCCCAAUUUUUGAACCAACGCAACUACUUUGUAAUGACUAGGAGCAUCCAAGUUUGGAGUCUCUUUGAUAGCAUCCCGCACAAUGUUGAUUUUCUCCUCUUCUUUUUUCUCCAUUUCUUUUUUUUUUCUCUAUCUUUUUCUCUUUUCGCCAUCAUGCUAUGAAUUCCUUGAAUUUCAGUGGCAAUUGCAGCAAUCGCAUCCAUUUAAUUUGGUUCGGACUUAGGUUGAGAUCUUUUCCUUGGAAGUAGCUUUUCUAUGGUUGUAGCAGCGGGAGCCUCAAAAUUUGCAUCUAGGAAAGAUGAAGCAUAUGAUGGCGUUUGGAAUAAUGGAUCAAGUUGCUCGACGUUCUCAUCAAAGGGAGGAAAUUCGUCUACUCUGAUUGGCCUACUUUCUUCAACUCUAUAUGUUGUGGCAUCAGUAUCAUCGCCCAAUCCAAUCAAGUUAUUUCCUUUAGCUGUUCCAUCACCAAAAACAGUCAUCAAAUCUUCAUAGUCUGCAAAUAUCUCUUUGCGAAUACCUUGACUCUUUGGGUGAGACUAGAAAAAACAAAAACAUAAAUUGUUAAAUACCAAAUGUAUAAACAUGAAAGAUCAUCAUGUGUAAAUAAUAUAUUCUUUAAAGAAAAAAAAAUGACCCUAAGGAAGCCUUCCCAUACUUCAUCACUAGCUGUGAACUUCUUUGUGAUAGGGUCCCAACCAAAUCCAGAACUAUGUCCAAAAAGCUGGCAAAUUGAUUGAAAUCGACCCUUCAAUGUUUUCAUAUGGUUCUUAACAUGAUCUUUAGUUUUUUUACGCCCAAGUUUUUCAUUGAGCACAGGAACAAUUUUGGCUUCUAUGGUCUACUUACUUAUCAUGCCAUUAGCAUCACGCCAUCCAUUGUUUACCGCCUCAACAAGUAGUUGUAACAACAUGUUGUUCUCUUGCACGGACCACUGAUUAUAGUUUCCUUUUGUCUUUUCUUGUUGUGAAUCUCCCAUUUAUAAUCUUACUAGAUGAUGCAUUAUAAUAAAACAAUGAGACAUGAUAAUAAAAGCAGAACAUGAUAAUGGGGAUUACAAGCAUAAAUGACUAUAAAAAGGAUUGGAACAACAUAUUGAUAUAUUAUUAACGUAACAAGUAUAAUGUGACACACCCCGAGUAUAAUGUGACACACCCCGACCCGAAUUAAGGCAUGCUGGCAGUCACGUAAGGGUGACGUAGCCAUGUGCACAGUGCAGAAGCAAUAAAGAUAAUAGAGAAUACGAAUAAAUGAAAACCAACUCAUAAGAGAACUAGUUAAGACAAGUGCUAGAAUAUGUGUGAAUACACAAUCAGAGCAUGAGUAGCCUAAGUUCAUUCCAGAAAACAAGUACUAAUUAAACGACACCCAAAGAUCCCUACAUUUGUGAUAGUCUAUCUGAACCUCCAAUCAAUCCUCGUGAGCCACCCACAAACAAGCUUAUCUAAAACCUGGAAGGGUGCAAAACAGAAAGUGUGAAUGGGCAAAAACAAAGCUUUACAAAACCAUUUUAUUUAUCAAAUGCUCUAACCCCUCACCCUAAAACAUGUAUAACUUUCCCAAAAAUGGAAUAUAUAUAUAUAUAUAUAUAUAUAUUUCAAAUCAUGCUUCACAUAUCCAUAUUCAUAAGUAUGCCAUGCCAAAAUAUAAAACAGAAUAAGUAACUCAGGUGAAAAUAAAUUCAUGGAUAAAUAACAUAUUAGCCGGAACGCCUGCAGAGGUAUGUACGGCUGAAUUCAUAGCUCAUUAGUCAAUCUAGCCGGAGUCACUACAAGUGACCUAUACGACACUACAUUGCACAUGAGUCAGAACCACUGCAAAGGUCUAUACGACAAGACUGGGUGUAAUAUAGUUAUGCUCAAUGCUACGCUCUCAUGAUAGAUGUGCGAUAAAUCGCUAGUCACCUACAAGUCGAAACCACCUAUGAUGGUCUGUAUGACAAGACUGUGCACCUAAAUUGGAUCUAAUGUGAGCAUAUGGUGUGGGAUGUGACAUUAUAAAUAGGCAUGUACUAUAUCUUUGGCUAAAUCACAAUCACCCGAUGUGCUGAUUUAUGAGCUCUCAAUCACGCGUCACAUUAUCAAUAUCUCAUAUAACAAAACAAUACUCACCUGGUACUUACCUGAGCGUCUACAUUACCAAUUCAUAUUAUGCAUUAUAUACUAAUUCAUAUGCUGAUUAUAACUUUAUAUGCAUGGCAUUUCAAAGCAUACUUUUAUUUAAACGCAUUUUCUGGGAAAAUAUCAAGUAUAUAAAUUUAUACUGAAAACAAAAUUCCACUCACUGAUAUGUCAAAGGGUCGUAGCCCCGAGCCGCCCUUGACUGCGUUCGUCCUCCGGAUAGGUCUCACCUAUAUGUGAAAUAACUGAAUAAACGUUAUUUAAAGCACAUAGACAAAACUAGUUAAUAACUUCUCAUACAUUGCUCGAAUGAGAUGUUUGAAUAUACCAACGUGAUCUACACAACCUCAUGAACAUCCCCAUAUUUAUAGAAAAAAAUUCCGACAUCCCAUGCUCCUCCACGCGUAGGGAAUCCUAACGGAAUCCCUAACCGCCGUUAGGAAUAUUCCAUUAAAACCUUAACAGACGUUAACGGCGUUACCUUUUUUCAUUAGAAUAUUCCGUCAGACUUGACGGAAUAUGCUCCUUCGUCUUCCUCAGCUCGUCGGAGUCCGGCGCCGGUGACCUCUACGUUACCGGUUUCUGGAAAAUAAUAAAACCUUCAUUUCUCACUCAAUUUUCCACCAAAUUUCAUGAAACUUGAACCAAAUUGAAGCUUAGGACGAAUAGAACACAACCAUACCUGUUUUGGGACCUAAAAUCCACAGAAAUUUGCAGAAGGACCUUCGAUAAUCUGGUCAAACUUUAAAUGCAUCGAUCUCGACUUCCCGAUGUCUAAAUUAUGUCAUUUUUCUUCUCCGAGCUUCGUGAAGAGGUCCUUAAUCUUCCUAUAAGCUUGAAAUCCUCUAAAAAUCAUGCAUUUACGACUGCAUGAAUAAUACCUCAAAACUGGGAUCUUGGGUUCUUGGGUUUUCUAAGCUUUCCUUUCCUAUAAAUGGUAUGAUUGGACUCAGAAGCCUACAAUGAACUCAAAGGUCAUAUUCUCCUCGUCGAUCCGUGCCUAAAUGGAAUGGUUUGAGAAUUGUUCGUACGCGUGUACUGACGUUGUAGAAAUUUGAGAAAUGGAGGAGAAAAAGUGUACACAGGGAAGGGGAUAGGUGUGUGUGUGGUCCUAGUUGGUUACUAAUCCACAAAACAAAGUAACAAGCCUAAGUCUUUUCCAAGAACUUAGAAUAUAUUAGAAUUAACCAACUUAAGUACAUAAUACACACAACACACUUUAACGUCCAAGGGUAAAUUAGUAACUUCCACGUUUGAGACCAAUUAAUAUUACAACAUUUCGGAAUAGGUUGUGACAAUUUACCCACCUUAAAAAUUUCGUCCUCGAAAUUCAUACACAACAAUACAUCCACUAAUAACCAUAAAACAAUCGUGGAUACGUCUCUCUCAUUCGAUCUUCUGUCUCCCAGGUAGCCUCCUCCACAUAGUGAUUUCUCCAUAAUACUUUCACCAGACGCACUGUCUUAUUUCUCAGAACCUUAUCUUUCCAAUCCAAAAUCGUCACAGGCUCCUCGUCAUAAGUCAAAUCAGGAUUAAUUUCCAAAGAUUGAGGAGGAAUCACAUGUGAAGGAUCUGCAAUAUAAUGACGAAGCAUAGAGACAUGAAAAACAUCGUGCACUUUGGACAACUCUGGAGGCAAUUCAAGUCUAUAAGCAACUUUACCGACUCACUCGAUGAUCAUAUAUGGUCCAACGUACCAAGGACUCAGCUUGCCUUUCUUUCCAAACCGCACAACACCUUUCCAAGGUGAUAACUUCAGAAAUACCUAAUCACCUACAUUAUACAUCCAGUCAGUGGCAUGUCUGUCUGCUAGACUCUUCUGUAGAUCUUGAGCCACUUUCAGGUUAGACUUAAUCACCUGAAUAUUCUGAGUAGUCUCCUCCACUAUCUCAGGACCCACUAAAACUCUUUCACCAAGCUUUAACCAACAUAAAGGUUGUUGGAAAUGUGCCCUAAAACCAAUCAUAUGAUGAUACUUUACGGACAUUUCACAUGUUAAACUAAUCUAGUUUAAUAUCAAGGGCAAAUAUUAUUGUUUUAAGCCGUCUCAUAUAAAUAUUAUAUGCUUAAACGAUAAGUCCAAGGAAUAUGUAAUUAGGAGAAUGUAAUUUAAAGAAGUUAGAUUCAUGAGACCAUUCUCUUUCAUAUACAUAUCCUAAACGUUCCUGAUCAUAGGAUUGCCAAUUGGGCAUUGACAGUCCGUUAAGAUCAAUACGUGCUGUGUCUUUUCUCAGGGAGAGUGACUGGUCCCGAGUCAUUGGUGUGAUUGACACCAAGACAAGCAUGUAGGUGCUCAAUAGAGAAUGAGUCCACUGAACAUGAUCGACGAGGAGUUCUCAUACUCAUGUCACAUGAGAACUCAUGGUUGGGAUAAUGCAAAGUAGUCCUUUGACCUGAGGCAUCAUAGUUGUCUUGUGGUUAAGUCCUUGAUCUUUGACUAUGUCAAAGUCACUCUGUUAAAGGUGUCCACGGCAUAGUUGGAGUUAAGCCACUUAGCCAUGGAGGCAAGUGAAUGCGCAACAAGGGAUCUCUAACCUUCAAACCGUUUGAGGGGGAAUACUCUAUAAUAUGAUUUAAGAAUCUCUGGCCAGAGUAUGAAUGAGAUUUAGGAAGUUGUUCCAAAUCACAUUCAAAGUAAUCAUAUAAGUAAAUGAAUCACAUUGGAUAGUAGACAUGAAUAAACUAUCAAACCAAACAAUGUGGUUAAGAGUAUUGUAUUAGAGAAAGACUGUAUUGCAUUGUAAUCCUAAACUGAAUAGGUUCUCCACCUCUUCUGAUUAGCUUGGGUAACCAUGACAUACUGCUAGGUGUCACUCAUGGUUUGUGGAAGCCCUAAACGUGUAUAAACACUAAAGGGAGAAUUGAAAGUAAGUUUCAAUUCACAAUCGAUUUGAAAAAGUUCUAAUCGCCCACUACCUCGCUAAAAGGAACCUAAUGGAUCGUACACCGUGUAAGGUAGAGAUUGAAGAAACAACGGAGAUUUGUAAGGAUAAUUAAAUGGUUUAAUUAUUUAUGGCAAGGAUUAAUUAAUAUGUUAAUUAAUCAAACGAAUAAAGUUUGUUAAAGACCUCGGGUUAGUUUUGGGCCUCAAGGCCCAAUGGGCUUCGAACGUCAAGCCCAUUAACUUAAGUUGUAUGACAACUUAGUGACUAAAUAUUCACAAAGGCCCAAACAGCCCAAUAACACCCUAUGGCCGGCCAUAUUGAUAAAGGAGUGGGUUUUGGACUUAUUACAAGUUUGCCACUCCAAUGAAGGUAGGUAUAAAUAUGACUUUAUAGCCUUUUCUUCAUUAGGGUUUCUUUUAGAGAAAAUAUGAGAACACAAUGUCUCUCCCUUUCUCUCUAAGAGGUCGGCCACCCUAGAGGAUUUUAGCUAGCAAUCUUACUUCCUCUAGGUCACCCAUCUCUUCUUCAAGUCCUUCCUUGGUGUGGAAAAAUUAGAGGUUCUCAAUUUUGGGAACUUGGGAAAUCCUUUCAACCAUCCUCAUCCAAGAAAUCCAUGGAUCUAAGAAGCAAGGAAUGAAUGCCCUCUCCUUGGGUGAUUAGCCUUUGCUCAUGCAAAAAGGAAUCAACAAAGGUAUAAAAUCUCUUAACUCACUUUGUUCUUAAGUGGAGUCUUGGUUCACCUUUCUACUAGGCUUUGAAUUUCAUGGGUAAUGUUUUGUUUUUGAGUGCAUACAAGCAUGAUUCCGCCUUUAAAUGUUAAUUGCAUGCAAUAGAUGUUGCUCAAAUGAACAUGUUUUUCACAAAAUUUCCUUCAAAGGUGUGAGACAGGAUUUACCAUAAAGAGCCUUGAAAGGUGACAUACCAAUACUAGAAUGAAAACUGUUGUUGUAGGCAAAUUCCUUCAAAUCCAACCGCUUAUGCCAAGCGUCACCAAACUGCAACACCGAAGAUCUCAACAUAUCCUCUAACAUCUGAAUAGUCCUAUCAGACUGCCCAUCUGUUUGAGGAUGAUAUGCCGUACUAUAAAGUAAUCUAGUACCAAGAGCUUCCUAGAACGCUACCCCAAACUUAGAAGUGAAUCUAGGAUCACGAUCCGAGAUAAUACUUAUUGGAACUCCAUGGUACUUCAUGAUCUUCGAUACGAAUAAUUCAGCUAAUUGGCUUAAAGAAUACUUCUCCCUCACAGGAAUAAAAUGUGUUGACUUAGUAAGCCGAUCAACUAUCACCUAAAUACCAUCAUAACCAUUAUGUGUAUGAGGAAGCUUGAUGCGAUGAAAGUUAAGCACUCAAAUUAAACCCUCUUGUUGUCAAAUUGUAGUAUAAAUGCAAGUAGGGAUCGUUCUGAACUGGGGAUUAUGAGGGCUUGCUAAAACCUCUAAACUUACUCAAAAACAUAAAAACAAAGUUAAAAAUAUUUGAAUAGACUCAAGGGACUCAAAACAGAUUCUAAAGACACAAAACUACCUAAAAACACAAACUGGGCAGAUUUGACUCUAACACAAUUUUGGACGAAUUUAGUGUUUUGGCUUGAAUCAAAACACUCAAAAACACAAACAAAACCGAAAUUUAACACUUUGAAACAAGAAAGUAAAAUGGGGAUUUUGGUUUUGAUGAAUUUGAACAAACAAACAAGUUAUAAAACUAGGCAGAUUGUAAGACAAAUUUUAGGAAAACGAUGAUGGAUGGAUUAGUUAGAGGUCCGUUCUUCACACAUGACACACUUGUACAUGAAUCGAUUUCCAAUUGCUUUUCAAUAAACUAUGAUGCUCAAGACUCCAGAUUAACCGUGAUGCACAAAUUAACCCUCAGAUUUUCCUUUACUCAUUGAGUUGGAUGAAUGCAUGCAACAACCCAAAUCAUUCUCUAAAAGUCCCCUAUAUGAAUGCAUCAUAGAGAUACAAUCAGAGAUCAUUACGUUCAAUGAAAAUCAUAAGUGUUGACGAGGCAAUUGUAACUAUGAAUGCAUGAUACGUUUGCCAAGAAUUCAAUUAAUGCGAUUGUGACAAACAACCUUCACUACUCAUGAAUAUAAACUUGUAACGAUUAGGUAAAACUCAUUUAUAUUUUAGCGUCUAAUUCAUGCAUGAAAACUAAGUAUGCAUCCUUAAUAAACAUGCAAGAAUCAGUUAUGAAGAAGAUAGAUAAUUGAAUUGCAAUCACAACUUAUCAAAUCACAAUUGGAAGAAAUCAAUUCAUAUCUCAAGCAUGUUCAUGGCUUCAAACUUCCCCCUAACUAAAUAGGGGUUUAGCUACUCAUUGCAACAAAAUCAGAAAAUAACAAAGUAGACAUUGAAAGCAAGAAUGAAGUACACCUAAAACGCUCCAAAGUUCCAAGCUUGAAACGCCAUGGACCUUCGUUUUCACCACCUUGUUGCAGCACAAGUGUCUAGGAUGUGUAUGGAUAUUUGGAAAGGUUAGGAAUGUAUUUAGGAUUGGUGAAUGUCUCGGCCAAGGGAAGAUGACAAUGUAUGCUUUGUGUUUUGGGAUAUGUUGGAUGAAUGUAUAUGUGAAUGUGGUUGAAUGUAUGGUGAAUGGGGAAUGGCUGGAUGAAUGAUGGAGGUCACGGCAAAGGAAAUGAAAGUGUUUGUGGGAUGUCAAAAUUAUGGAUCAAGAUUGUUCUCCCCUAAGAAUGGGAAUGGUGGAUGCAUUUAUAGGCUAGGGAGAGGACCAAUCCAUUUCCUUUGCAUGCGUGUGAGCUGUCCAUGUUUCCCUCUACAUUUGCACACACAUGCACUCAUCAUUUCAGCCACAAAUCACUACACUUUCUGCCCAUGUCGUGUGUCUUUCUUUCCUUUUGCAUGUAUUUGUUCCAUGUUCUUGUGGCAGAAAUGUUAAGUAAUGAUGAAGGGUUACUGCUGCACAAGUGUGAAGGAUGGUGCUCAAGGCCUCUUUGCAUGUGUGUAUUUCCACUUCUUCAUUCUUCAUUUUCUGAUUUCCUGCUGCCCAUGUGCCUUCAUUCUAUGUUUCCUGCUGCCCAUGUCGUGCCUUUCCAUGUUGUCUCUCCUUUAUUUUUCCAAACUGUCCAUGUAGAGUGUGUAUGCCCUCCAACCUGUGCAGUUUGCAUGUGUGUAGCUAUCCAUGUUUCUCUUUUGCAUGUGCCGUGCCUUCUCUUUCUAGCUGUGCAUUUCCACUUGCUCCAAAGCCAAAUGAGUGCAAUCAUAACCCCAUUUUCUGCUGAGUGUUGAUGACAAAGCAAAACACAAAACAAGUGUCUUUACUUUCUCAUUUUAUUAGCCAAAUCUGCUUAGCCCUUUUCUGAACCUUUCAGUGUUACAAUGCCCAUAACUUCUUCUGAAAAAAUGAUACUAACAAUCCGUAAAUUGCUCCAGAAAAUAGACAUCUGUAGCUUUCCAAGCAUAUAAGGCUCAUUCUCUCAUUCAUUCUGAGUUGUUCGUAACAUGCUUCCAAAGUCAGCUAAUCUGCACAGGCAGUUUUGACGAAUUUGUUACUUAAUAUCUCACUUGUGCUACUUUUCUUUCUUUGCUUGAUAAAUCACACAAAACACAAAAACAUAGUAAAUAGCUCAAAAAUAUAAGGAACUAACUAAGAAAAGACAAGUGAAUUUUAUGUAAAAUAUAUAUAAAUAUGAGCUUAUCAAAGCUUGUACACAAAAUCCAUAGUAAUAUUUUCCCAUUUCCACUAUGGAAUAGGAAGUGGCUGCAUCAACCCAAACGGCUUCUUCCUUUUAGCUUUAACCUGCUCGCAAAUGACACACCUACUUACAUAUUCAACAAUUUCUCUUUUCAUACCUGGCCAAUAACAAAAAUGGUUGAAUGGUAUGAUACAUUUUUGUAUCUCCUAGAUGCAUUGCAUAAGUUGAAAUAUGUGCUUCAUCAAGAAUUGCCUUCUUUAACUCUGCAUUAUUCGGCACAUACAUUAUGUUCUCUUGCAUAAGCGUGCCAUCAGUUUCUCGAAUUCUAAAAUCUUUCUUCUUACCUCAAUUUCUUUCUUGAAUUAAUUCUUGGGUUUCUUCAUCAACCAUAUGAGCCUCGAGUACUCGAUCAAUUAAUAUUGGCCUAACUUGAAAAUUUGCAAGUAAGGCUUCCUAUCGAUCUUCCACUCCUAACUCUACUCCAGUGGACCUCAAAACUGCAAGAAGAGGAACAUGACAAUCAUAGAUGGCAUUAAGUCUAGUUGGAGUCUUCCUACUAAGUGCAUCCGCCACUGCAUUUGCACGACCAGGGUGAUACUCAAUCGUGCAAUCAUAAUCGCUAAGCAACUCAAUCAACCUUCGUUGCCGAAGAUUAAGAUCCCUUUGAGUAAAAAGAUAAUGAAGACUCUUAUGACCCGUGAAGAUAUUACAUUUCUCGCCAUAAAGAUAAUGUCUCCAAAUCUUUAAAGCAAAGAUGAUAGCCGCUAACUCCAGAUCAUGAGUAGGGUAAUUCUUCUCAUGAGGUUUCAACUAUCUUGAAGCAUAAGCAAUCACUCUACCAUGUUGCAUCAAUACACAACCCAGGCCAUUUAAAGAAGCAUCACUGUAGACCUCAAAAUUACCACUAUCAUCUGAGAGUGCCAAAAUAUGUGCAUGAGUGAUAAUACUUCAACUGCUAAAAACUUUGCUCACAAUUAUCAUCCUACUCAAACUUAACAUACUUCCUGGUCAAUCUCGUCAAUGGUAAGGCAAUAACUAAAAAAUCCUUAACAAACCGUCUAUAAUAGCCUGCUAGGCCAAGAAAACUCCGUGAUGGUUCGAGGUUGCUCCCAAUUCUCCGCAGCUACCACUUUUUGAGAAUCCACUCGAAUACCUUGAGCUGAUAUAACAUGUCCCAAAAAUGUCACUUGAUCUAACUAGAAUUGGCAUUUGCUAAACUUAGCAUAAAACUGGUGUUCCCUCAAACUUUUUAACACCAAUUUAAGAUGUCUAGCAUGCUCUGCUCUAGACUUAGAGUAUACCAGAAUAUCAUCAAUGAAAACAAUGACAAACCUGUCCAAAUAUGGCUAGAAAGUCAGUUCAUUAGAUCCAUGAAAGCUGCUGGUGCAUUAGUUAACCCAAAUGGCAUCAUAAGAAACUCAUAAUGACCAUAUCGAGUCUUGAAAGAUGUUUUAGGGACAUCUUCACUUUUAAUCUUCAAUUGGUAGUAACCAGACCUUAAGUCAAUCUUAGAGAACAUACAGGCACCUCGGAGUUGAUCAAACAAAUCAUCUAUACGUGGUAACGGAUAACGGUUCUUAAUUGUUACCCGGUUCAAUUACCUGUAAUAAAUGCAUAGCCUCAAAGUUCCGUCUUUCUUCCUCACAAAUAGAACUGGAGCUCCCCAGGGUGAAGUACUAGGCAGAAUAAAACCUUUAUCCACUAAUUCCUGCAACUGAACUUUCAAUUCCCUCAUAUUAUGCAUCAUACUAAUUCAUAUACUGAAUAUAAAUUUAUAUGCAUGACAUUUCAAAGCAUACUUUUAUUUAAACGCAUUUUCUAGGAAAAUAUCAAGUAUAUAAAUAUAUACUGAAAACCAAAAGCUCACUCACUGAUAUGUCGAAGGGUCGUAGCCUCUGAGCAGCCCCUGAUUGUGCUUGUCCUCAGGAUAGGUCUCACCUAUAUGCGAAAUAACUGAAUAAACAUUAUUUAAAGCACAUAGACAAAACUAGUUAAUUACAUCUCAUACAUUGCUCAAAUGGGAUGUUUGAAUAUACCAACGUGAUCUACAUAACCUCACGAACAUCCCCAUAUUUUUAGAAAAAAAUUUUGACGUCCCACGCGCCGACAAGUGCACGAAAACACGCGCGGCCACACGCAGAGAAUCCUAACGGAAUCCCUAACCGCCGUUAGGAAUAUUCCAUUAAAACCUUAACAGACGUUAACGACAUUACCUUUUGCCAUUAGAAUAUUCUGUUAGACUUGACGGAAUAUGCUCAUUCGUCUUCCUCAGCUCGUCGAAGUCCGACGCCGGUGACCUCUGCGUUGCCGGUUUCUGGAAAAUAAUAAAACCUUCAUUUCUCACUCAAUUUUCCACCAAAUUUCAUGAAACUUGAACCAAAUUGAAGCUUAUGAUGAAUAGAACGCAACCAUACCUGUUUUGGGACAAAAAAUCCACGGAAAUUUGCUAGAGGACCUUUGAUAAUUCGGUCAAACUUCAAAUGCAUCGAUCUCGACUUCCCGACGUCCAAAUUAUGUCAUUUUUCUUCUCCAAGCUUCGUGGAUAGGUCCCUAAGCUUCCUAUAAGCUUGAAAUCCUCUAAAAAUCAUGCAUUUACAACUGCAUGAACAGUACCUCAAAACUGGGAUCUUGGGUUCUCGGGUUUUCUAAGCUUUCCUUUCCUAUAAAUGGUACAAAUGGACUUAGAGCCUAAAAUGAACUCAAAGGUCAUAUUUUCCUCGUCAAUCUGUGCCUAAAUGGAAUGGUUCGAGAAUUGUCCGUACGCUUGUACGGAUGUUGCUGAAAAUCAAAAAAAGGAGGAGAGAGAGUGUACACAGGGAAAGGGAUAGGUGCAUAAAAAUCUCAGAAGAGGACAUUGCUCACCACCACAAGGUUUCCUCACUUUAUAAGGCUUUGUCCUUUAUAGAAAGUGAUUGGAGUGAUGGACCUUGGAGAGUAAAAUUGGGCUCACCCUUGGGGUUGGGCUUUGGGGUGUAAUAAUUAAUUGAUAAUUAAUUAAUAUUUAAUAUAUAUAUAUAUAUAUAUAAUUAAUAUAUAUUAAUUAAUUAUCAAAAGAUGUGAGAGAUUAAAAUGGAAUUAAGUGCAGUACAAUGGUUGUUAUGUCAAAAUGUAAAAGGACAUGGCUGGACAAGAUGAGUUAUGAAUCAACAAAAAGUGGGUUAUCAAAUUUAUACAUAUAUACGGGUUACAAAUCCUAUCUUACAAAGCGUAAUUAAUCUUUGUCAACCCAAAGCCCAUCCCAUCUAACCCACCAAAUGAACCCUUGUGGCCUGUAGAAAUUCACUUUUGCAGUCUCCUAAAAUCUUGGGUUACAUUGGGUUCUGCAUUUGAAUACUCCUCUUCAAAAUUGCUUGUAUAGAAGAAAAUAAGAGUUUAUUAGGUAACGUCUUGCAAAACUGUUGUUCAUUUUAUUGAUACAAAACAAUUGUAAAAUGUUUUUAGUAUGUUGUUUUAAAAGAAUAAAGAAUGAAAAACACAAUAUACAAUAUUUAGCCUAGUUUGGGUGCAACAUUUUAUUGGUAUUUCAUGUGUUUUUCAAGAAUGACUUCCAAAUAAAGUAGAAAACACAUGUAUAAGAUAAGGUCAUGGUUUAAAGAAGAAGUAAAGAAAAAAAAUAUUCAUAGUGGGUUUUUGCUAAUCAGACUAGGAUUUGAUGAGGCAUCUGUUGGAAAUUUUGAGUAUAAUUUCAUUAUCCCACAUUGCUUACCGCCACAAGGUUUCCUCACUUUAUAAGGCUUUGUCCUUUAUAGAAAGUGAUUGGAGUGAUGGACCUUAGAGAGUAAAAUUGGGCUCACCCUUGGGGUUGGGCUUUGGGGUGUAAUAAUUAAUUAAUAUUUACUCUGAGAGCAUAUCUGAGAAACAGAUGGAGCAGUACACCCUUUACGUUGAACAGUCGCCUCCCAAAAACAUGUUUGUUGCGAACAGACAUAUGAUUACUAUAUAUAUAUAUAUGCAUCUGCAUAUCAUUCAAAUCACUUAAAAUCAUCAAUCAUCAUAUACCAAGUAUAUUGAGAGUACCACAAACCAAUUCGCCAGAAGUCUAGUUUUCCAGUAGUGGAAUUCUAACUUAGAUCGUUGAAUCCUGGUGAAGCAGACGUCCAUAGAACUACAAGCACUGAGUAGGGACGAAAUUUCUAUUUCAAGGAAAUUGCGGUACGCAAGCCUCGAUCUUCAAGUUGUUUGUUUUAUAAUUGUGUUUUGUUCAUACUCUGUUAAUUGUUAUAUCUGCAUUUAUUGUUUAUUAGCAUAUAUAAUUAAAUCACAGAUUGUUGACUUAUAUCCAACAUCAUCUACUUCUUCUUGUAGAAUGUUGUUCAUAAUGGUUGGCUAGGUAGGACUAGGGAUGGGCAUCAGUUAUGGAGGGUGGGUAACCGCGGUUAUUUACGCAUAAAUGUUUAAGCUUUUACCUGCAUAAUCAUUUACCCGUUGGGUAUUUACAUAAACGGGUAUACCCAUAUCCAUAACCGUUUAUAAACGGUUAACCAUACCCAUAACUGCAUAACCAUUUACCCAUAACCGCAUACCCAUUUAAUCAUAACUGCGUACCCAUUUACCCAUUUUUAACCCGUUUACUCUUCUUCUUUUUUUCACCCGUCUACCUAUUUUUUUAACAACUUGAAAAUUAAAAAGAAAUUUGUCAUAAUUUUCUUUUUCUAACAAUCAAAUACCAUUAUAAAUAGAUUUAACAUGAAUUUUUGUAUUAAGGACAAUAUUAUUUAUGAAUAUAUGCGAUGUAUCCCAAUUAUUUGACGGUCAAUCUAUUAUAAGAAUCAUGCAUGGUUGUAGGUUAAUUAAUAUUCUUGUAUACAUACAUACAUACAUACAUACAUACAUACAUACAUUAUGUAUGUAUGUAUGUCAUUACACAUCAGUCUGCUAACAAGCUAAUUUGAUAAAUAUUUGAUUUUUAUUUAGAAACAUAUGUUCAUCAAUCCAAGCCAUUUAAUUGAUUUCUAAUUUUUGGGUCAAAUACUUAUUGAAAACUUGAGGCCAAUUAAAUAUAUAUACAUAUAUAUAUAGGUAUGCAUCAGCCAACAAUAACAUGUUUCUACAAGUUCAAAGUAAUCAUUAUCUUGAAUUAGCCAAAGCUCCAAAAGACUCCAAAACAAAAUUGUCGAACACUCUAAUGCUUUAGCACAUUCAAUCACAUAUAUUAAACAUUGACCCGUUCUAUCAACUAUAUUUUUCUCUCAAGUGAGGCAUAUAUUUAUAUAUAUAUAUAUAUAUACACACACACAAAGAGCUUAAGGGGAGGGAUCCCCAUUUUUUGAAAAAAAUGGGGAUUAGGUGUGGGGCCCACUUCACAUCUAAUUUCAACGAUCCGAACCGUCUAUUUUGUUAGUCUCGAUUCAUAGAUCAUCCUUGCAAAAUAUUAGCUAAAUUGGAAAUGUUUAAGACAUCUAAUUGGGUUCAAGGAAAUGAACGAAUACUUUGUUAUAUAAGAAAAUAUGAAAUUUGAUAUUGAUAAUUAAAUAGGCAAAUGGUUUCGGAUUGAAUUGAAUUUUUGCAAGGAUGAUCUAUGAAUCGAGACUAACAAAAUAGACGGUUCGGAUCGUUGAAAUUUGAUGUGAAGUGGGCCCCACACCUAAUCCCCAUUUUUUUCAAAAAAUGGGGAUCCCUCCCCUUAAGCUCUCUGUGUGUGUAUAUAUAUAUAGGGGUGUGAUAUCCACACACCCCAUUUUACUUCUCACACACCCUUUUAAUUUUCGACCGUCGGAUCAGAUGAAUUGAAGAAGAUCAACGGACAGAAAUUAACAAGGGGUGUGUGAGAAGUAAUUUGGGGUGUGUGGAUAGCACACCCCUAUAUAUAUAUAUAUAUAUAUAUAUAUAUAUUAUGGCCCUUUAUAACCAAAUAUGUUUCGGAAUACUAAACUUAGCUAGAAACUAAUUUUUUUUUCUUUUAGUUUUACAUAUAUUAAAAUAAAUGGUUAAAUGGAUACCCGUUUAUAACCACGAGUAAUACCCAUAACCGCCCAUUUAAAUUUCACGGGUAAACGGUUAUAUUCAUAACUAUUUAUUUAUCUAAACAAUUACCCGUAACUGUAACCAUCAAAUUUAAAUGGGUAGAUAACCACGGUUACCCAUAACCAAUGGGAAUGUGCCCAUCCCUAGGACUCACCUUACAUUUAGGGCAUGUUUGGUAGGCAGACAAGUUAUCUAACCUAUUUUUUAUACAUGGAUUAUAAGUUAUGUCUUAUAAACUGUAAUCAAUCUAUGCCAAUUCAAACAUACUUCCAAAGUCCAAUUUCAUCCAACCCACCAAAUGAGACCCUUAGGAUCUAUUUGGUGGCUUAAUUGGGAUAAGUUGUGAUUAAUUAAAAUGGACUUGAGUGCAGUAUAGUUGUGUCAAAAUGUGGAAGAACAUGACUGGACAAGAUGAGUUUGGUUUCAAUAGGUUUAAUGAUGAUGAUAAAAUUUGUCAAAUCCGAACUAAAAUUUCAGUUCGGUUUAAUUUUUUUUGGUUUUUCUUCGGUUUGUUUAUUUUCGGUUCGGUUUCGGCUUGGUUCGGUUUUUUAUUUUUUAUUUUUCAUAAAAAUUUAAAAAAUAUAUAUAUAUUUUUUAAUUUGAAAAUUCACAAGAAAGGUGCGGGUGUUCAUUGAGAUGGUGGCUGUGAUGAUGAUGAUCCACCAAGGAAACAUGCAUAUACAAUCUUUCAGCAAAAUGAGGUAUUCUAAAAUCCCCCUGGUUUAGUUCUGAGCUCUCAAUCCCUCUUCUUCUCUGUCUCUGCCAGUCUCUGGUAGCCCGUUGGAUUGGAUUGGAUUUGUGCUAAACACCACAACCACCAAGUUGGUCCGGGAAUUUCUAUAUACGUCUUGAAAUUUUCAACAUAUUUGGGACUAAAACUAUAUUAAUGAUUGAUUUGAAAUUGGGUUUAAAAAAUUAAUAUCCAACGUAAAUAAAAAUAAUUGUAUUUAAUUUGGUUUGGUUUGGUUUUUGAACUACUAAAACCAAAACCAAACCAAAAUAUUUUUGGUUUGAUUCAAUUUUUUUGGUUUUGGUUCGGUGCUCAGUUCGAUUUUUUGGUUUUCAGUUUUUUGAACUCACCCCUACAAUAGAGUGGGUUAUCUAAUCUAUCCAUAUACACGGGUUACAAAUUCUAUCUUGCAAAGCGUAACCAAUCUCUACUAAUUCACUCCUAUCUCUAAGACUCAAUCACAUCCAACCCAAAGAAGCCUUUAGAGACUCUAGUGUUGUAAGAAUUCACUUUGCAGUCUUUUAAAUCUUGGGUUACAUUGGAUUGUGCAUCUGAAAACUCCUCUUCAAAAUUACUUGAAUAGAAGAAAACGAGAGUUUGUUUGGUAACGAUCAUUUUAUGGAUACAAAACAAUUGUAAAGGUAUGUUCUUUUAAAAGAAUAAAUAAUGAAAAAACAAAAUACAAUAUUUAACCUAGCUUGGGAACAAUAGCAUAUUGGUAUUUCGUUUGUUUUUUAAGGAUGGAUUAUGAUUCCACAAUAGAGUAAGUUAUCUAAAUCUUUUUAUAUGUUUACAAGUCAUGUCUUACAAAGCGUAAUCAAUCCUUACCAACCCAAUCCUUAAGGCCCAUUGCAUUCAACCCAACAAACGAGCCGUAUGGCUCUUGUGUUGUAGAAAUUCACUUUUGGUGUCUUUUAGAGCAAGUCCACCCCUAAGGACUUUGUGCCAGCACCCAGCCCAUUUAUCCACUCCAGUGAAAAAUAAUAAACUCCAAUGAACAAUAAUAGGCCAAUGAAAAGGAAAAACACUUCGCAAAAUGUCAAGAAGUGUGUAGGAAGGAUGUCGAGUGUUGUUUUGGUAUCCUGCAAGCUCGUUGGGCAAUUGUCAGGGCUGCAACUAGAAUGUUUGAUGUCGAGGCUCUUUGAUCCAUCAUGGUGACGUGUAUUAUUCUCCACAACAUGAUUGUUGAAGAUGAGUAUGAUUAUAAUGUCGUCGAUGAAUACGAGCCGGAUCCAAUCAACAACUCAUGAACACAUAUCUAUUGUGCUCAUGACAAUACCAAAGAUCCCGUGCAACACGACCCGUUGGAACGGGAUGGACAUUACAAUGAAUUGAUCGUUCAGCGGUACACGAACUUGCAAGAGCCAUAUUGGCACGUAACCCGCCAAAAUGACUUGAUUGAGCACCAGUGGGGAUUGCAAGAAGGUGAAUAUAAUUAAAAUGAGGCUUGUGGUUGAAGAAUAAAGUGUAUUUUUUUUUUAAGUUUAUGUAAUUCUAUGUAGUGUGUUUUGUUUUUAAGUUUAUUUGGUGAGUUUAUGUAAUCUUAUUUCAUGUGUUUAAAUAAAGUACAAAAAUAAAUAAAUAAUUACAUUAAAAUUGCAUAAUAAAUUAAAUAAAAAUAAAUAAAGUUCUAAAAAUAACAUAAGAAAUAACAUAAGAAAUUAAAUAAAGUUCAAAAGAAAAAAAGAAAAAACAUAAAAAUUACAUAAGAAAUUAAAUAAAAUUCUAAAAAAAUAAGAAAUUACAUAAAAAUUAUACAAAGUCUCUGGAGCUAGGAUAUGUGGUGCUAGGAUCUUGGUUGCUAUGAUUUGUAGCUAGAACCCCCUUGACUUGUUUCCACAUCUCUUGCACGCCUCAUUUGCACGACAUCUCUUUUUUAUGAUGUCCAAAAAUAUUUUGAAUUCGAAGAUAGUCCUACUAGAGACUUGCUUAUAGUGUCACGAUCUGCUUGAGCCAUUAUUUCUUCUCUAAGCAUUUCAUUUUCUCGAUGAAGUGCUUGUCUAACCAACUCGUUCUCUCGAUUAACUAUUUCUCUUUGUCUCUCAGCAGCCGCAUCACGGGCCUUAGUAGCUGUUAUUAUUGCUGCCAUAGCAGCAACUUUUUCCUCAUCUCUUGCCUUUUCUCGUGCCAUGUUCAGUUCACCUUGGCGAGCAAGUUCCUCCAUAUAUUUAGUGUAGUCAUUUUUGGAAGAACUACCUUUUUUCUUUGAUGCCUUUUUACCUUGAGGCCUGAGGGAUUGACGAGUCGGUUGGGUCUCGGGCACUUGUUCAGGCAUCCCUUCUGUGUCUUGAAAUGUGUCGACUUCUUGUUCGGCCGUGUCUGGUUCUGUCGAACUAUGUAGACCCAUGCCGUGCAUGACAACUUCUGGAGCAGUUGCCACAAUUUUGUAUUUAGGGCAAUCUUUGACAAUUUCCCAACAUUCCCAUUUUUUGAAUGAUUUGUUCUGGUUCUUUGAAUUGUAGAAUGCUUGAGCUUGUAGUGUCUAUAAAAAUGUGGGAUAAGAUAGUGUUAAAAAAUGCGGGUGUAACACAAAUUAAUAAAUUAAAAUAUUGAUGUGGAUGGAAUGCAUAUAAAUUACAUAAUGACAUAAGAAAUUAAAUAAAAAUUACAUAAGAAAUUAAAUAAAUUAAAAUUUUGAUGCGGGUGGAAUGCAUAUAAAAAUUACAUAAGAAAUAACAUAAAAAUUACAUACGAAAUUAAAUAAAUUAAAAUAUUGAUGUGGGUGGAAUGCAUAUAAAUAAAUAAAAAUAUUGUCACUUGAUCCGCUAAACUUGUCCCACUACGCAGGUUACCGGAAGCAUGAGAGAUGGCGUUUUUCCAACAAGUAAAUGAUGCGUUGAGUUUUUUCCAACGACCUUGAAGACCUUGACUAGUUCUGGCGUCAUUUCCAUGUACAUCGCAAAACGCUUUCGUAAUUUUACUCCAUAUUUCUCGCUUAUCCAUCUCAUUACCCGUAAUCGAGUCAUGAGUAGUGUGAACCCAACAUUCACACAACGUAACAUCUUCAAUGAGCUUCCACGAAGACAUUUUUCUCUCUUAAAGUGUAGAAAAUAUUGAAAUGUGGUGUAAGGUGGAAGAUGAGGGUUAGGUAUUUAUAGAAAAGAAAAAAUAACUUUUUUAAUAUUUUACUGUAUUUUAAAAAAAAUUGUAUUUUUUUUAUAAUUUUAAUUAAUUUUAAUGUAGUUAAUUAAUCUGGACCGUUGGAUUUGAAAAAUAUUCAAAUCCAAGAGCCAAGGAUCUAACGUGGCCAACGGUCAUAAAUCUGACCUGUUGAUGCACAAAACCGGAGGUCUUGGAACAACGUAAAUCCAACCGUGAAUCUGCAAGUAAUGUAAAUAAUACAAGAUGUAUCGUGGUUCACCCCAAGGUUUGGGCUACGUCCACACUGAUUAUGUAUUUAUCUGAGAGGUGAGGGGAGUGAGGGAGCUCUGUAAUGUGAGAGCUUUGGGAGGAUGAAUGAGCCUUAAGAAAUGGCUCCCCCUAAUUGUGAGGGUGAGGGGUCCUUUUAUAGAAUAAGGACUUCUCACUUAUUACAUAUUUGCCCAUUCCUUUAUCACAUAAUUACAUUUAAGUCCCCCGAGUAUUUGUACGAGAUCUAAAUACGAGACCCUAAAUAUGGUAUAAACAGUAGUCCCCCAAGUCUUCAGUCAAGAGAAUCUUUUGGCUAGAGACUUGAAAUUCAGUCCAUGUGUGGGCCGAAGUAACCAGAUGUUGUCUUGAACUGAUGCUCGAUAUGAGGCGGUGCUCAAUCUGAAAUGAUGCUCAACUAGAAGUAGCAUAUGCUUUGAGGCUGCUCGGCUUGUGGCAUAUGUUGCCUUGGUUGGCUCGGCUUGUGGCGUUGAAGGUGAGGGAGUCCUUUUUAUAGAAUAAUGGUUCGCUCCUCAAUACAUAAGUGAUGGGCUAAGAGUUGAUGUUCGCGGCGAGGUGGUUGCUCAGUUGGCGGCGAUGCUCUUCUAAUGAUGGUAAGGGAGUCCCUUUUAUAAAAUAAGGGCUCGCUCCUCAGUACAUAAAUGAUGAGUUAGGAGUGAUGUUCGCGGCGAGGCGGUUGCUCAACUGGCGGCUAUGCCCUCUAACAAAGGUAAGGGAGUCCAUUUUAUAAAAUAAGGGCUCGUUCCUCAAUACAUAAGUGAUGGGCUAAGUCCCCUAAAUAUUUUUCAUGAGUGCUCUCUAAUGAAAGUGAGGGAGUCCCCCGAGUAUUUUUCAUGAGGCCCAGUUGAGGCCCAAUAUAUGGUACAUAAUGUAGUCCCCCAAGUCUUCGAUCAAUAGAGUCUGUUGGCUGGAGACUUCAAAUUGAAUCCAUGUAUGGGCCGAAGUGGUGGUUGUUCGGAGGUGGUAUUUGUAUACCCUGCACUGAAGCUUUGUAAGUGACAUUUUGCAAGUGAAGCUUUGAAGCUGGAGCUCUGUAAAUGAAGCUUUUGUAAAUGGAGCUUUUGAAGCUAGAUCUCUGUAAAUGAAGCUUUUGAAGCUGAUUGACUUGAGUGAUGCUCAUGAAUGUUUAUGUUGAUUGACAUGAGUAAUGCUCAUGGAUGUUGACAUGAGUGAUGCUCAUGGAUGUUUAUGUAUGAUUGGAUGAGUGAUGCACAUUAAUGUUUAUGUAUGAUUGAUAUGAGUAAUGCUCAUGAAUGUUUAUGUAUGAUUGACAUGAGUAAUGCUCAUGUAUGAUUUGAAGUACUGGGCGUACUUUUGAUCACCUGGUUGGUAGCAUGAAGGAGAGUACGGGUUGUACAUUUCAUCACCUGGUUGGUGGCAUGAAUGACUAGUUGCCAAAUGAUAUUAGAGUAUGGGUUGUACAUUUCAUCACCUGGUUGGUGGCAUGAAUGGCUAGUUGCCAAAUGAUAUUAGAGUACGAGUUGUACAUUUCAUCACCUGGUUGGUAGUAAUAGCGGCAGGUUGCCGAAUAAUUUUUGGAGUACUGGGCAUACUUUUGGUCACCUGGUUGGUGAUAAUAACGGUUGGUUGCUGAAUAAUUUUGGAAGUACUGGGCGUACUUUUGAUCACCUGGUUGAUGAUAAUAGCGGCGGGUUGCCGAAUAAUUUUAGAAGUACUGGGCGUACUUUUGAUUACUUGGUUAGUGAUAAUAGAAGGUCUGGCUCUUUUGGGCAUAUGGGCCUUCGCCCUCCACAUAACAUUCCAGCCCAUUACUUUGGGCUUUGCCUUUUUUUUAUUUUAUUUUAUUUUUAUUAUUACCUUCUGAUAGGGUUUAUACAGAUAUUUUCGAAAGAUACGAAAAAUAAAUUACAUCAUACAAAAACAAGAAAAGUAAACUACAUCAUUCUGGUGGGGUGUUUAUUCCUUGCUUUUGCCUGUGUUUUUUUUUUUUUUUGCUGCACUCUCUCUGUCUAUUCAUCUGGCAAACAGAAGGAAUCAUAAUAAUACGAAGAUUUUUUUUUCUUCUUUUCUCUAUAUUGCGUCUCUGUCUUUUGCUUUUGUGCCGCAGCUCACUUGAUUGUUUUUCUUUCUGCUUUCUUCUUUUUCUUUUCUUUCUCUUUUCCAUUUCCUGCAUGUACCACCCACUUGCUUUCUUUUGCUUUUCUCUAAAGUGAAAAAUGCUUGACAAUUGAUAUUUCAGUGGUAAUAAUUGCAGCCAAAGUGAUAGCUGCAUCCCCUUCUCCACAUGUUUCCUGCUCCUCUCGCCGCUGAUCUGCAGAACCCUCCAUCAUCCAUCUCCAUUUUCACCUCCUCCUUUUUGAUCAUGUGCCAUGACCAUCUCCGUCAAAUGGAGAAUAGAAAACUUAUGUGCCAUGACCAUCUCCGUUAAAUAGAGAAGCGUAGUCCAGAGAAGCCAAAGAGAUAUAGGGGACGUUGGCGACGGCGGAGCUAAUGGCGUCGAGCUCGUCACGUGAGCUGCAGCAGACCACCAUAGGCAACCCCGGACGUCGACCUGCCAUGCCCAAUAAGUCCAUUAAAGUCUCUAUUUUGAACUGGUGUCUGUCGACAGCAAGGUAGAAGUGGCGCUGCGGGUUGAAAUGGGAAGAAGGGGAGUAAAACAGAGGAGACGGGGUUUCCAAAAGCUGCAUCCAUCACCAUGGUCGAGGAGUUGGAGAAUCUGCCGAAGGACUUGGCGACGGUGAUCUAGGCUACGUCCAAGGAUAUAAGAUUGAAGAACAGAUUCUGAUGCAUAAAAUCAAGCUUCGUCGAUCCGACCCGAGAGGUCGUCGAUUUGACCCGAGAAAAAAGGUAGGCCAUGGUGGACAGAUUCUGAUGAUGCGGUCCAAGUUGAUUCUGAACUCCAGGAUUGGUGGACAGAGCUUCGCAAUGUAGGCCAUGGUGACAAGAAGAAUGAACCAUGGUGGCUUGGUUAACCACCCAACUGUAAGCCGACGCUUCAUGCCUGACGUAGACACGGUGGAGGAGGUCCCCAACAGCCUCAUCAACGCCCUCUCCAAGUCCUUACCUCUGGGGUCUUCGUCCAGCUCGUACACAGUGGGGUUGAUGCCCAUGCCGCAGAAGAGGGGCUUGGCGGCAUGGCACAUGCAGUAGCUGCUUAUACUGAAACUACUGUUGGAAAUGUGCCCUAAAACCAAUCAUAUGAUGAUACUUUACGGACAUUUCACGAAGUUAAACUAAUGUAGUUUAAAUAUAAAGGGCAAAGAUUAUUGUUUGAGCCGUCUCAUAUAAAUGUUAUAUGCUUAAACGAUAAGUCCAAGGAAUAUGUGAUUGGGAGAAUGCAAUCUAAAAAAGUUAGAUUCAUGAGACCAUUCUUUCGUAAACACAUCCUAAACGUUUCUGAUCAUAGGAUUGCCAAUUGGGCAUUGACAGUCCGUUAAGAUCAGUACGUGAUGUGUCUUCUCUCAGGGAGAGUAACUAGUCUCGAGUCAUUGGUGUGUGUGACAUCAAGACAAGUACGUAGGUGCUCAAUAGAGAAUGAGUUCACUGAACACGAUCAAUGAAGAGUUCUCAUAUUCAUGUCACAUGAGAACUCAUGGUUGGAAUAAUGUAAAGUAGUUCUUUGACCUGAGGCAUCAUAGCUGUCUUGUGGUUAAGUCCUUGAUCUUUGAUUAUGUCAAAGUCACUCCAUCAGGAGGGUGUCCACGGCAUAGUUGGGGUUAAGCCACUUAGCUAUGGAGGCAAGUGAAUGCGCAACAAGGGAUCUCUAACCUUCAAACCGUUUGAGGGAGAAUACUCUAUGAUAUGAUUAAGAAUCUCUGAUCAGAGUAUGAAUGAGAUUUAGGAAGUCGUUCCAAAUCACAUUCAAGGUAAUCAUAUAAGCACACGAAUCACAUUCGAUAGUAGACAUGAAUAAACUAUCAAACCAAACAAUGUGGUCAAGAGUAUUGUAUUAGAGAAAGACCGUAUUGCAUUUGUAAUCCUAAACUGAAUAGGUUCUCCACCUCUUUUGAUUAGCUUGGGUAACCAUGAUAUGCUGCUAGGUGUCACUCAUGGUUUGUGGAAGCCCUAAACGUGUAUAAUCACUAAAGGGAGAAUUGAAAGUAAGUUUUAAUUCACAAUCGAUUUGAAAGAGUUCUAAUCGCCCACUGCCUCGCUAAAAGGAACCUAAUGGAUCGUACACCGUGUAAGGUAAAGAUUGAAGAAACAACGGAGAUGAGUAAGAAUAAUUAAAUGGUUUAAUUAUUUAUGGCAAGGAUUAAUUAAUAUGUUAAUUAAUCAAACGAAUAAGUUCGUUAAAGACCUCGGGAUAGUUUUGGACCUUAAGGCCCAAUGGGCUUCGAACGUCAAGUCCAUUGACUUAAGUUGUAUGACAACUUAAUGAAUAAUGAUUCACAAAGGCCCAAAUAGUCCAAUGAAUCCCUAUGGCCGGCCAUUUAGAGAUGGAGUGGGUUUUGGACUUAUUUACAAGUUUGCCACUCCAAUGAAUUAAGGUAUAAAUAUGACUUUAUAGCCAAAAUUCAUUUAGGGUUUCUUUUGGAGAAAGGAUGAGAACACAAAGCUCUCUUUUCUCUCUAAAGAGGCCGGCCACCCUAGAGGAAAUUAACUAGCAAUCUUGCUUCCUCUAGGUCACUCAUUUCUUCAUCAAUCCAUCCUUGGUGUGGAGACUUAGAGGUUCUCAAUUUUGGGAACUUGGAGAAACCUAUUUCAUCCAUCCAAAUCCAUAGAUCUAAGAUGCAAGGAAUGAAGGCCCUCUCUUUGGGUGAUUAGCCUUUGCUUAUGCAAAGAGGAAUCUACAAAGAUAUAAUUUGUCAACUCACUUUGAUUUGAGUUGAGUCUUGGUUCACCAAUCUACUAGGCUUUCAAUUUCAUGGUUAAUGUUUUGUUUUUAAGCGCAUGCAAGCAUGAUUCCGCCUUUUAAUUGUUAAUAGCAUGCUAUACAUGUUGCUUAAAUGAACAUGUUUUUACAAAUAUUUCCUUCAACUACCGCUUCUUCUUGCAGGGCUGCCAAACCUAAGACUUCGUCACUCUCAUUCCUCCCAACUUCUGAACGCCAUGUGGGAUUGAGCUGCCGAGGAGUUUCGAGUAGCAGGUUGAGCAUUUUGACUGAGCUGCCGAGGAGUUUCGAGUAGUAGGUUGAGCAUUUUGGCAGAACGACCCAAAUCGUUGCAGUAGCACAACGCGCCACAUGUUGAAGAUCCCACGACCCAGCUGUCUCUCUGAGCUGUUUUUUUUUUACUGGUUUUCUCGGCUACCAAACAUUGACUAGAAAUAGAGUUUGAUUUGUUGUUUUUUGGGUUCUUUUUCUCUAGGAAAGCUUGAGUUGUUGGGUUUUUGCAGAUUUUGCAGAUUCACGGUGGAGGUGAAAAAAUGAAAGAGAACCGACAUAGUUUUUUGUGUUGUUUCCCACAGACGGCGCCAAAUGUUGAUGCACAAAACCGGAGGUCUUGGAACAACGUAAAUCCGACCGUGAAUCUGCAUGAAAUGUAAAUAACACAAGAUGUAUCAUGGUUCACCCCAAUGUUUGGGCUACGUCCACACUGAUUAUGUAUUUAUCUAAGGGAGAGAGAGCUCUGAGAGUGAGAGCUUUGAGAGGGGGUGAGAGGGCCUAGGAAUUGGCCUCCCCUAUUGUAAGGGUGAGGGGUCAUUUUAUAGAAUAAGGACUCCUCACUUAUUACAUAUUUGCCCCUUCCUUUAUCACAUAAUUAUAUUUAAGUCUCCCUAGUAUUUGUACGAGAUCCAAAGAGGAUUAAAGGAUUGAUGGGUCCUCCCUCAUAAAGCCUUUCCUUCUCACUCCCCUCUCAUUUCUCUCUUAACAAACUCUGAAACUAGGAUGGUGCUGAUGACGUGAAAGCUUUGCUGGGAAUUUGGGAAGCGUGGAAUAUGGAAACUAAUCUUAUCCCAAGUUAAAGUUCCCAAAACCCAAUAAUAUGACCGAUUCGAACUUUUUAACUUCUGGCGCUUUUCGUUUGCUCAAAGGGCCUCGUAUUUAGAUCUCAUACAAAUAUUCGGGGGACUUAAAUGUAAUUAUGUGAUAAAGGAAUAGGCAAAUAUGUAAUAAGUGAUGAGUCCUUAUUCUAUAAAAUGACCCCUCACAUUCACAAUAGAGGAGGCCAAUUCCUAGGCCCUCUCACCCCCUAUCAAAGCUCUCACUCUCAAAGCUCUCUCUCCCUUAGAUAAAUACAUAAUUAGUGUGGACGUAGCCCAAACCUUGGGGUGAACCACAAUACAUCUUGUGUUAUUUACAUUUCAUGCAGAUUCACGGUCGGAUUUACAUUGUUCCAAGACCUCCGGUUUUGUGCAUCAACAUGACCGUUGGGCCCUUUUUGGGGGGGGGGGGAACAUGGACCGUUGAUAUGUGAUCGGACGGUUCAAUUUAAAAGUAAAAUUUAAAUUUUUUUAACUGUUGGAAAUCUAACGGUCUAGAAAAACUAGCCGUUGGAAAUCCAACGGCUCUGAGCAUGCCACGUCGUUGGCUGCAUCUAAGGCACAAGUGGGUUGACAACGCCUGCCCCCUUGUCCCCUACUUGCGGCCACGCGUGAGUGCUGUGCAUGCACCAGCCAAAUAGGUCGGCUCUUAGGUCUGUAAAAAAUGGGCUGGUCUGUUGCCUAGCUUGGGCUAGGUGCCAUGCAACUUUGUAGGCUGGACUAAAUGGACUGACCCUCAGCUUGAUAUUUAGACUAGGUGCUGGGCAAUGUUGGCUCCGGUGGACUUGCUCUUAAGAUCUUGGGUUACAUUGGUUUUUGCAUUUGAAUACUCCUCUUCGAAAUUGCUUAUAUAAAAGAAAAUUAGAGUUUGUUUGGAGUCUUGAAAAACUGUUGUUCAUUUUAUGGAACCAAAACCAUUGUAAAAUCCUUUUGGUAUGUUGUUUUAAAAGAAUAAAUAAUGAAAAACAGAAAAUAUAAUAUUUAGCCUAGCUUGGGUACAACAUCAUAUUGGUUUUUUGUGUCUUUCAAGAAUGACUUCCAAAUAAAGUAGAAAACACAUGUAUAAGAUAAAAAUCAAAGUUUAAGGCAAGCCUGAUGGAGAAGCCAAACAAUAAUCGUCUGGCCCAGCUGACACACCCUGACCCGAAUCAGGGCAUGCUGGCCGUCACGUGAGGGUGAUGUAGCCAUGUGCACAGUGCGGAAGCAAUAAUGAUAAUAGAGAAUAUGAAUAAUUAAAAACUAAUUCAUAAGAGUACUAGCUAAGGUAAGUGCUAGAAAAUGUGUGAAUACACAAUCAGAGCAUAAGUAGCCUAAGUUUAGUCCAGAAAACAAGCACUAAUUAAACGACACCUAAAGAAGCCCUACAUUUGUGAUAGUUUGUCAGAACCUCCAGUCAAUCCUCGUGAGCCACCAACGAACAAGCUUAUCUAAAACCUGGAGGGGCGCAAAACAGAAAGUGUGAGUGGGCAAAAACAAAGCUUUUCAAAACCAUUUCAUUAUCAAAUACUCUAACCCCUCGCCGUAAAACAUGUAUAAUUUUCCCAGAAAUGGAAUAUAAAUAUAUAAGUAUAUAUACACAUAUAUUUCAAUUCAUGCUUCACAUACCCAUUUUCAUAAGUAUGCCAUGCCAAAAUAUGAAACAGAAUAAGUAACUCAGGUGAUAAUAAAUUCAUGGAAAAAUAACAUAUUAGCCGGAACCCUUGCAGAAGUCUAUACGGCUGAAUUAAUAGCCCAUUAGUCAAUCUAGCCAGAGUUACUGCAAGUGACCUAUACGGCACUACAUUACACACGAGUCGGAACCACUGUAAAGGUUUGUACGACAAGACUGGGUGUAAUAUAAUUAUGCUCAAUGCUACGCUCUCAUGAUAGCUGUGCGAUAAAUUGCUAGUCACCUACGAGUCGGAACCACCUAUGAUGGUCUGUACGACAAGACUGUGCACCUAAAUUGGAUCCAAUGUGAGCAUAUGGUGCGGGAUGUGACAUUAUAUACAGGCCUGUGCUAUAUCUCUGACUAAAUCACUAACACCGGGGUGCAGGUUUAUGAGUUCGAUGUUUCUCAAUUAAUCACAACCGUUAUUCAUAUUCACAAUUCAUAAACUCACCUGGGGCUUACCUGAGCGUCCACAUCACCACAAUUAUAUAUAUAUAUAUAUAUAUGCAAACAUCAUAUGCAUAUUCUAAAUGUAAAACAUUUGGCAUGGCAAUUUAAGUCAUAACUCAUUUAAAUGCAUUUUUUGGGAAAGAUACCAAGCAUAUACAUAUAUAUUUAAAACUAAAAGCUCACUCACUGGUAUGUCGAAGGGUUGUAACCCCCGAGUCGGCCUUGACUGUGCUCGGCCUCGGGAUAAGUCUCCCCUAUAUGCGAAACAACUAUAAAAACGUUAAUUUAAAGCACAUAACCAAUACUGGUUAAUAAUUUCUCAUACAUUGCUCAAAUGAGGUGUUUAAAUAUAUCAACGUGAUCUACACAACCUCAGGAACAGGCCCAAAUUUUUAAAAUAAUUUUUGGAGCCCUCACGCACCGGCAAGGGCAUGGCCCUACUCGCCCCCACGCGCGGGCAAACCUUAACUGAGGCCUAACAGCCGUUAGGAAUAUUCUGUUAAAUUUAAGGAAUAUUCCAUCACCGUUAGUUGCCAUUAGGAAUAUUCCGUCAUCACCUACAUUUGAACUCCGGUGACCAUCGCCGUCGUCGAAAAUUGAAAAAUCUAAAAAUUCUUUUAACUUCUUCAUUUUGCACCAAAAUUCAUGAAACUUAAACCAAAUUGAAGCUUACAAUGAGUAGAACACAUUCUUACCAAUUUCAAGCUCUAAAAAUCACGGGAUCUCACUAGAGAAGGCACGAUAAUUCCAGCCAACUUUCAAACUCGACUUCCCGACGUCCAAUUUGCUUGGUUUUUCUUCUCCGAGCUUCGUGAGAAUGUCCUAAAGCUUCCUAUGAGCUUAAAAUCCCCUAAACAUCCAUAAUUACGACUGCAUGAACAAUACUCAAAUAUGGGGUGAUGGUUUCUCGGGGUUUUGAGGGUUUCACGAUCUAAAAAUGGCAUACAUGAACUCAGAGACUUGCAAGGAGUUCGAAUCUUACCUUCUUAACGUCGAUCCGUGCGUGAAAUGUGAGUUUGGUGUUCGUCCGUACGUUUUGUACGGAAAUGGUAGGAAGGCCGAGAUAAUGAGAGAGAGAGAGAGAGAGAGAGUGCAUGGGGUUGUUUUUGUGUGUGUGUGUGUCUUCACUUGAUCAUCAACCAAAACAAACAAAAGUUUAACUUUUAAUUGAGUCCAAAACUUAGGAUUUUAACAUAUUGGUCUACAUCCCAAAAACAUGUCACACACAUCACAAUCUCAAUGUUCAAGGAUAAAAUCGUCAUUUCAUACCGUCGAAACUAAAUAUUUCAGGAUUGGCUAUAACACUAACGACCUGUCUAUGUGAUGCAUGGUUGACAUCAUCAUGACGUCAACCACAAUUUAAAUUACUAAAAACUAAUUAAAAAAUAAAAAUUAUAUAUUUUUCUAUAAAUACCUAACCAUGUUAUUUUAGUUUACACUACAUUUUAGGAAUGAGUUCGGUUUUGAAAACGGUUCGCUUUUUUGUAAAAAUUGAACCGAACCAAAAUUUCAGUUCAGUUCAAAUUUUUUUUGGUUUUUUUUGGUUCGAUUUUUUUCGGUUCCGGUUAUUUUCGGUUCGAUAUUUUUCCCUUUUUUUUAUAUAUAUUAAAUUUGGAGCAUGAAGCAAGCAUGCUUCCUGCCUUGAACAGAAAUCAACCUGCAACUCUGCAACAUGGUUUGGAAGAACAGCGAGAGAAUCCAAGUAUAAAAUAAAAUAAAAGAAAAAAAAUAAAAUAAAGAGAAUUAACAGAGGCGGAUGAGCAUGAGUCGAAAUCGUAAGAGAUCCAUCUCGACAUGAUUCACACGCCGUAAAAAUAUUAUUAUUAUUAUUUAAGUUUUCAGUUUGGACCCUACCCUGAAAUCCUCCGCAUAUAAACCCAGCUGUUCGCCAUUUUUUCUUCCUCUGUUUACUCAGUUCGGUCAGGCUCGCCGCCAAUGGUGACGGAAGACAAUAGCGAGAGUUGCGGGAGUAGAGCGCUGGGAGAGAUCGGAAGGAGCGGAGGGAAAUUCAUGGUUUGGAAGAAGGAAUCUGCGACCGCGAGGAUAGGAGAAGACGGGAGAGUGUGAUUUGGAGGAAGAGAGGAAGGAAAGAGAGAGACUGAGGAAGCAGAGAGGAUGAAAGCAGCGGAUUGGAGAGAGAGCGAGAGAGAUUUUGAGAAAAGCAAGAGAAAACUAAAAUGGGAGUGACGGCUAGGGUUAGUAGACUUUAAAAAUUUAUAAAGCAUUAAAGAUUAGAAUACCUAUAAAUAUAUUACUCGAGCAACUGAAGGCCCACAAUCGGGUUGGCUUGAAGCAAUAUUCCCAACCUGGAGGAAAGGGGUUCGAAUCCUCAUGCCAUUGGGAAUUUACAUAUGAUUUUCAUAAAUCAAAUCGGUUCGGUUUGGUUUGGUUUUCAGAUCUUAAAAAUCGAAAUAUAGAACCAACAAAAUUUGGUUCGGUUCGGUUUGAUAGUUGCGGUUUCAUUUUUUUAGGUCUUGGUUCGGGUUUCAAUCCGAUUUUUUUCGAUUUUCGGUUUUUCCAACCCAUCCCUACUACAUUUCAAUAUUUUCAAACAUUUUUAACCAAUUUUUAAUUAUUAUCUAAAAAUAAAAAUAUAAGUUGUUUUUUCAUUAUUUUAUAAAAUAAAAUAAUAUACUAAUAUUUUAAUACGAAUUAUUUGACUAUUCACUUUAUGAGUGGAAAUGCACUUCGACAUUUACCAUUCAUUAUGGACCGUUACUGUUUAUUUAAAGAAAUUGAGUUGCCUAUUGAUGUGGAUGAGGCCUUAUUACACUGGAAGUUAGAUUUAUCUUUAUUUACUAGAUUUGAAAGAUGAAGGAACUUACUGCUGGUUUGGAAGCGAGACUUGUGGUUAAAGGAGGUUGGAAUGCCUAGUCUUCUGUGUAAUCGUGACUUGCUAUUAGUUAUCUUUUUUUUUUUUUUUUUUUUUAAGGGGGGGGUGGGGGGAAGGAUGAAGGAACAGGUCAUCGCGUGCUCCACUCCAGAGAGUAGUGAAUUACUUCGCUGUGUCGGCGGAUAACUCAACAGGUAAUUCCAUUUCCACCAGGAGUUGAGGACCAAAGUCAUCAAAUUUCUGCUCGAAUAGAAUGCCACUGAUUUGUCACCACCUUUCCUCUUCUUCCUCUUCUUCCUAAUUAUAUAUAAUCUCCUCCUAAAUUCUCUCCCACUCACUCUCUCUCUCUCUAGCUUCCGCAGAUUCUCUCACUACUCUCUAGCACUCACUACCACUGUGGGGGAUGCAGAGCGAGAGAGAAGUUCAAAUACAAUAAACCCACUUGAGAACUCUCUCACACAGCUUUCUCACCAAUUUUCAGGUAACCAAUUUGAUCUGUGCUUGCACUUGCUUUUUCUGGGGGUCUCUGGAAAAACAGUGCAUCUGUUUUUGGCUUAAAAGUUUUCAGAUUUAAAUUUCGUUGUUUGUUCUUCUUGCAUUCAUAUCCAAAGUUGUUUUCUUUUUUUUGGGUAAGAUCCAAAGUUUUGUUUGAGGUGAAAAGGAUUCAAAAUUUAAAGAUCCAAAGGGUGAGCUCCAUUUGAGGAAAUAGGUUUAAUGAUGAUGAUAAAAUUUGUUAACUGAUGGAAAUUUAAUCCUAUGACAUACUUAGAAGCAGCAAUGUCUUUAAGUUUAAAUUAACUGGUGGAACAUGAUAUGGGUUUGAUCCCACUUAUUCGUCACUCCAUUUAAUCCUAUUGUGAUUGCAAAAUGCAAACUCACACUCUUUUCAGCAAAUCUAGUUACUGCUGAUUUCUGCAAGUCCUUAACUAGUUAACCAUAACAAUGUAUGCACAGUUGCCUUUAGAAACGUACCGUAUUUGGGAAUCCAUCCCCGUUCUCAUGUCUCAAACUUUGUACAGUGGUGCCAUCUGGAUUUCUUUUACUAUCAUCCAGGAUGUUUUAUGUUAAUUAAGUACUUCUUGGUUCGUAUGUGAAGAUACACACACACACAUAUAUAUGUAUAUACUUGGAAUUUGUAUUUUCAAGAUUGGCUAAAUGUAGAAUGAGCAACAAGUUAUCGUUGUGUAGGUUAUUUAUACCAGAAGCCUUUCGAAUUGAAAGCCUGAUGCAUAUUGACUACAACUUUAGCUAGAGAAAAUUAACAGUACUUACUUUGGAACAAAUAGUCGAGUUAUUCUUUUUAAAUUUUAAUAGGCAUGCGUAUUAUAUUCUUCGAUAAAUAGCUGUCUACUUAAUACUGUUCAUGAAUUUGCCCUUCAUUACAUUUUGGUAGGGCUUGGCUUCAUCUUGUCAACCAUUGAUCAUUUACUUCAAAUACCUGCCUCUCAAUUUUCUAUUAAUUGUGCAGGUUUGAGGGAGUUAUUGCAAGAAUAUCAUGGGCCCCAAGCAUAAUUCUUCAGGAAACAGAACAAGAAGCACAUUAUCUAUAUUUGUUGUGAUUUCUCUUUGUUGUUUCUUCUACCUUCUUGGAGCAUGGCAAAAGAGCGGUUUUGGAAAAGGUGAUAAGAUAGCAUUUCAAGUUACCAAACAGAAAGAUUGCAAUGUCUUUGCUGAGUUGAACUCUGAUUUGAACUUUGAAACUCAUCACAAUGUCGUGGAGAUAGUUGAACCUUCUGAACCUAAAGCCAAAGAGUUCAAACCUUGUCAUGUGAAAUAUGCUGAUUAUACCCCUUGUCAAGAGCAAGACCGAGCAAUGAAAUUCCCCAGGGAAAAUAUGAUAUACAGGGAAAGACAUUGUCCACCAGAAGAGGAAAAAUUGCAUUGUCUUAUUCCAGCACGGGAAGGGUAUAUGACUCCAUUCCCCUGGCCUAAAGGCCGUGACUAUGUCCACUAUGGAAAUGUACCUUAUAAAAGCCUCACAGUUGAGAAAGCUGUACAGAACUGGGUGCAAUUUCAGGGAAAUGUUUUCAAAUUUCCAGGUGGAGGAACAAUGUUCCCCCAAGGCGCAGAUGCAUAUAUUGAUGAACUUGCAUCAGUUAUUCCGAUUGCAGAUGGCUCUGUCAGGACAGCAUUGGAUACCGGUUGUGGAGUAUGCUUGUUUUCUAAACUAUUUAUGUGCUUUUAUUAUUGCAUAUGCAUGUCUACAUUAAUUUCUCCACUCUGCGAUUCUAUCAUUUGCAUUCAGUUUGAGCUUUUUACCUUCCUCCAGUCAAUCCAAGACUGACAAGAGCAUUAGCUUUUCACCCUCCAGAGAAUAUUGAAGAACCUGUCACUUCCGACCAACCUGUCAUUUAAAAAAGCACUAUGCAUAUACUGACUGCAAAUGCACAUUCAAUCAGUGCCUAUAUACUUGUGACUAGAUGAUUUAUGUGCAUGAGCAGUGAUCUAUAAUCGUGUACAUGUUCACAGAGAGUCAGUUCAUUCAUUUGGUUGUGGUUCCGUACUAAUGAGGCCAAGCAUAACCCAGGUUGCAAGUUGGGGUGCAUACUUAUUGAAGAGAAAUGUAUUAGCCAUGUCCUUUGCACCGCGGGACAAUCAUGAAGCCCAAGUGCAGUUUGCAUUGGAGCGAGGAGUACCUGCUGUUAUCGGUGUGCUUGGAUCGAUUCGUCUUCCAUACCCAGCUAGGGCCUUUGAUAUGGCCCAGUGCUCUCGGUGUUUAAUUCCAUGGACUGCAAAUGGUAAGAUCUUGGAGUAACCAACAUUAAGCUUGAGCAAUCACAUUUGAUAUCUUUUGUUUUGUAUUAUAUACUGAUAAAAUAUAGUUGAAAUUACAAACUCUAAAUAAGAUAUAAAAAGUAGAAAAACAUAUCUAAAUUGCUAAACAUUUAUACUUGAUUUCUAUUUGUAUAAGCAAUUACUGAUUUGCAAAGUUAACCAUUUUCCUGAAACUCUUACAUGUCUGGCAGUUAAUUUAGUUACCAACCCUGCUAAUUUCCCUUUCCCAAUUCUCUUGUUUGAUAAUGAAUUCCCCCCAGUUGACUUCUAUAUAAAAGAGGGAUUCUUGUUGGAGUUCCAUCUUCUACUUUGUUUUCCAUGUUUUAACAUGCAAGAAUAGUUUAUUUACUGAAUAUGGUGAAAUUUUAUGAUUCAAAUAUGAAUGCCUUCGUGUAGAUGGAAUGUACCUAAAAGAAGUUGAUAGGGUCCUUAGACCUGGUGGAUACUGGAUAUUGUCUGGACCUCCAAUUAAUUGGAAGACCUACUACAAAACGUGGAAGCGGUCUAAGGAGGACGUGCAGGCAGAGCAAAAACAGAUUGAAGCACUAGCUGAAAGUCUUUGCUGGGAGAAAAAGUAUGAGAAAGGAGAUAUGGCUAUCUGGAAGAAAAAAGUUAAUACAAAAUCCUGCAGGAGAAAGUCUGUCGAUGUAUGCCAGACAGAGGAUACUGAUGAUGUCUGGUGAGUCUCCAGGCACUAUGGUUGCUUGUGAUAUUACUUUGGUAUUUAAUAACCCAUUUUUUUAGCCUUGUUUAGUUGUUUUAAACCUACCCUAAUCAUGUAUAUAGAUAAUCUAUAGUCAUCGAUAUGUAAACCUCCCACUAAAUUUGAGGUUUGGUCGAUCUUUCUGAAGUGGUACAGAAUCAGUUAGGGGAAAGAGCCCCAUGCCUUUGCAGCAGAUGACAGGAUAGCGCAAGAAAAACAUUUUUGAAAAUCUCAAAUUGUAUGAUAUUGGGUAACUUUCGUCCAGCAAUUUGGUUUACUUAUCUAGGAAAAUGCUAAAUAUAACACAAGUUUUACAAGCAGAAGUAGUUGAAUUGGCAUGCUGCAUAUCCCACAUUCCCAAUCCUAUGUACGGGUGCUCUACUGCUACACAUGUUUGCAUUGUUUAGUCUGCUUGUUCAGUAUUAGACUUUUAGCCAAAAUUCAUUGAUAUAAGCGAAAUGAUUGUAUAACUUAACAUUCCAUUCGUUAAAGUGAACAUUUUUCUCUUUUUUACUUUGUUACAGCCAUCCUAAUUGUUACUUUUAUGUGGUCUGUUCCAGGUACAAGAAAAUGGACACAUGUGUAACCCCUUCUCCUGACGUAACCAAUGCAAAUGAAGUAGCUGUAGGGGAGUUGAAGUUUCCUGCAAGGCUUUAUGCAGUCCCUCCUCGAAUAGCUAAUGGUUUAGUUGUGGGGGUUACAACCAAAUCUUACCAAGAGGACAAUAAACUUUGGAAAAAGCAUGUAAAUGUUUACAAAAGAAUCAACAGAUUGAUUGGCACUACAAGAUAUCGGAAUGUGAUGGAUAUGAAUGCAUGCCUUGGAGGAUUUGCAGCAGCCCUUGAAUCACGAAAAUUGUGGGUUAUGAAUGUUGUGCCUACAAUUGCAAAGAAUACUUUAGGUGUUAUUUAUGAGAGAGGUCUAAUCGGCAUAUAUCAUGACUGGUAUGUCCUUGAUAAUCCUCUCUCUCUCUCUCUCUCUCUCUCUCUCUCUCUCUCUCUCUCUCUCUCUCUCUCUCUCUCUCUCUCUCACACACACACACACACACCCACACACACUAACACAAACACAAGCACAUCAGUGUUUACCGAAGUGUAUGAGUGUCCUUCAGGACUCGGUAACCUUUAUGCUUUUCCUAUGAAGAUUUUCAGUUUUUUCGUCGAUUAUAAUUUACAGUGCUGAGACCUAGGUAGCAAAUACAUAUUUUCUAGUUACUAGUCCAUGUCAUGACCAGAAAAAGAAACUUGUUUCAGGUGUGAAGGCUUUUCUACGUACCCAAGGUCAUAUGACCUUAUUCAUGCUAGCGGUGUGUUCAGCUUGUACAAGAACGAGUAAGCCUCAUCAUCUUCUUCCUGUGUAUCUGUGUGCCUAUAUCAUACUUAGUGUUUGCACCAUUAGAUUAUUUUAUGAGAUAGCAAUAAAAUCAUGAGAUGCAAUAUCUUGUCGUUAAGAUUUCUAAAACCUUCAUAUUUUAGACCUCAUUUGUACAAAUGUGUAUAGUUUGGUAAACAUCAAGAUGGAACAAUCUUUGAUUCACUAAAUCCAAGAACUCUUUUAAGUAAUUUUCUCAAGGACUGUUUGAACAAUGGUGGAUUUUUAGUGAUAAAGUGAAAAUAUACUAAGCUAAGCAAUUACGGGCUUCCUUAAUGACAUAAAGUUUUUUCAUGCAUAAAUCUAAUCUAAUAGUAAUAACAAAAGUAAUGUAGUUUACCAAUUUUCUAAACUUACAGUAAUACAGUCACUCUUUUCUGUUUUAUUCUAAAUUGAGAUAAUUGGUCUUGAACUUCAGUCCCUGAAUUGAAAAUCCGUAAGUAGUGGUCCUUGUGUCACGGGAUGACUCUUUAAGCCUUCCGCCCGUGCGGCACUUAGACUUGAAUACCUCGAUGAACAAGCUAAGUAAGCCUUCGAAGCCUCGCUUCCCCGGAUCGAAUCACAAAGAAAGCUAAGAUAGCUUGGAGAAUGCUAAAAUCACUUAGAAGAUGGGAGAAAGGAAGCUUUGUAUUGAAAGUUAAGAGAACUUUACAAUUGCUUACAAUUCUUGGAUGGUUUGGCCAAAUGGCCUUACCUCCUAUUUAUAGGCCUAAGUCACCUCCUCAAUGGAGGGUUCUAGAAUCUCCUACUUACAUCCAAAAAUAUCUAGCAUAGUUCUAGAUACAACUUGCCUAAUCUAGAUUAUUCUAGGUGAGGCUUAAAUAUGUACACUUGUGUGGAAUGUUCCGGAAUGCCCUAGAUUAUCUUGAAUGCUCCGCCACGUUCUUGAUUUCUCCGGGACGUUCCAGAAGCUUCCAUGAAGACAUGGCUUCAUGGGCUUAGAUAUAUGAUGUCUUGGGCAUUUUCUUUGUUUUUAACAUGCGGCCCGUGACACUUGGAACUUGUCACAUAGUGGUUCAAUGGUGCUUUUCCGGUAACUCCUCCUUAAGAACUUCUGUCCCUUAUUUUCCAUUUACAACCUUUUUUCUAAAGGAAAACUAACGAAAAGUCCAAAAAAACUUCUCUUUUAACAAAAAGCCCUUUUUAAAGGUAUAGUGAAUAGUGACAGGUAAAGGUAAAAAUGUGGUUUUUCGUUAAAAGUGAACAGUACCGGGAGUGUUUUAUUAAAACUCUUUUUUUCUAACUCUACUAAUUAAUAAAAUACUCAUUGUCAACCAAAAUCAUAUGAAAUUAUUAGUUUAACCCUCUAAUUAAAACAAAACAUUAAUAAGAAAUAUGGGGUAGAAAUGUAAUUUUACGCAAUCAAAUUUUGCUGUUUUUUUUUUCAAAGUCUCACCCACAUAUAAUAUUAACAUAUCUCUAAUUACAACAACAACAACAAAUUCUUUACCCACUAAGUGGGGUCGGCUAUAUGAAUCCUAGAACGCCAUUGCGCUCGGUUUUGUGUCAUGUCCUCCGUUAGAUCCAAGUACUCUAAGCCUUUUCUUAGAAUCUCUUCCAAAAUUUUCCUAGGUCUUCCUCUACCCCUUCGGCCCUGAACCUGUCCCGUAGUCACAUCUUCGAACCGGAGCGUCAGUCGGCCUUCUUUGCACAUGUCCAAAUCACCGGAACCGAUUUUCUCUCAUCUUUCCUUCAAUUUCGGCUACUCCUACUUUACCUCGGAUAUCCUCAUUCUCAAUCUUAUCCUUUCUCGUGUGCCCACACAUCCCACGAAGCAUCCUCAUCUCUGCUACACCCAUUUUGUGUACGUGUUGAUGUUUCACCGCCCAACAUUCUGUGCCAUACAACAUCGCUGGCCUUAUUGCCGUCUUAUAAAAUUUUCCCCUGAGCUUCAGUGGCCUACGACGGUCACACAACAAUGCUGGAUGCACUCUUACACUUCAUCCAUCCAGCUCGUAUUAUAUGGUUGAGAUCUCCAUCUAAUUCUCCGUUCUCUUGUAAGAUAGAUCCUAGGUAGCGAAAACGGUCGCUUUUUGUGAUCUUCGCUAAAUUGCUCCGGUCAUUAGUGUGGAUAAGUAUAUAAAUGGAUAGAGAUAGGAAAGCAAACACAAGAUGUACGUGGUUCACCCAGAUUGGCUACGUCCACGGAAUAGAAGAGUUCUCAUUAAUUGUGAAGGGUUUACACAAGUACAUAGGUUCAAGCUCUCCUUUAGUGAGUACAAGUGAAUGAUUUAGUACAAAUGACAUUAGAGUACAAAUGACAUUAGGAAAUAUUAUGGGAGAAUGAUCUCGUAAUCACGAAACUUCUAAGUAUCGGAGUGUGGUAUCAUCUUGACUUGCCUUAUCUGUCUCAUAGGUAGAUGUGGCAGCUUCUCUGGAAGUACUCUUCCUCCAUCCAGGGGUGGUAUCUUUAACUGGUGGAGAUGCACAAGGUAAUGUAUCAAUUUCACUUGAAGCUUACUUGUAGUUUCAGGCUUGGUCAAGCGCGAUACAAACCAUGUAGUAGGAGUCCCCCAAGUCGCCGAGCUAGGGGAUUUGCUGAAAGAGGUGACAUACAAGGUAAGCAAUCAGAGCUCCGGCUGAUUGUUCACCUUCUCCCCAUCUUGCAGCAGCAUGAAGGAUAAAGAGAAGAAAAAUGAGAAGAGAUGAUAUGGGAUACUUUUGCUUUUGAAGAAGUAACUUUCCACAGGCUUAUUCUUGAACUGAGCUGGAGGGUUUUCUGGUUUCCUCCAGAGUAUAAGGCCGACUGAAGAAUUUGAGGGUCAAAACAAGUCCAUCAAAUCUAGAGUACGUUCGACCCUGCUGAUAUGGGAUACUUUUGCUUUUGACAGAGUAAUGGAUGGAUCGGCACGUGUGCUGUUAUGCUUGUCUCUACAUGCUUCCUUGUAUCCUUCGCACUUGCCCUAUCUGUUCCUCAAGCAGAUGCGGUAUCUUCCCUGGCAACAUAAGAUGUUGAAGAUGAGUACUCGAGAGUAAUGCCAGGUAAGUAAUCAGGUAAGGGGUUCCAGGCUGUCAGUUCCUGGCUGGGAGCUUGAUUUCAAGUGCUGACUGAUUGCUCUCUUUCUCCUUGUCUUGCAGGUAAAAACAAGGCCAAAGGAAAAGACAGGGAAAAAGCAUGAUAUGGGAUACUCUUGCUUUUAACCCUGAUGAUAUGAGAUAUUCUUGCUCUAGUAUAGCUUGUUUGCAAAGGUAUUAUCGGGGGGAAAGAAAGCUGAAUAUUUUGAAAGGCUUCGUUGGGAGUGCCCUCUCAGAUAUGAGGAAGGGUUGAGCAUUUUUUGCAGGUCUGCCUGUCCGUUGGGGAUGGAGGUCGACAUAUAUAGGAGUCUCCCUAACAACAAGUAGUAAUGCUAUUCCUUUACCCUGCUUGGUCAUAGCAUGGUAGUGGGAGCUGCCAGCUUCACAUGUUUUAACUCUGUCAGAGCACUUUGAAAAAGUGGUAUGUGGUAUCUGGCUCUCGAGAUUCGGAGAACGAUGCUUCUUCGAUUUUUGAGAAAGCAAUCAUGGUGGGGGUCUGGCUCUCGAGAUUCGGGGAGCAGUGUCUCUUCGAUUUUUGAGAAAGUAAUCAUGUUGGGAGUCUGGCUCUCGAGAUUCGGAAGGCGGUGCCUCUUCGAUUUUGGAGUAAGCAAUCUUGUUGGGAGUGUUUUCUCGGAUGUGAGUAAAGGUUGGGCAUGUUUGCUAGUCUACCUUGCCACGAAGCACGGAGGUUGACACACAGGGACUUUCCAAUUAUCCAGCAGUGGUACUGUUCCUUUACCCUUGUGGGUAAUAAUAUGGUAGCUAGACCUUCAAAAUUUAUGUGUCUAAACUUUGUUAGUGCUGUUUCUUUGCUAUUCUUUUACCUUUCUUGGUCAGAGCGAUGUAGUGGGAGUUGCAAGCUUCACGUGCUCAACUUUGGCAGAGACUUUGACAAAGUUAUCUGUGGUACCCAUGAGCUAUUGUUGCGUGUGGGAAGUGGGUGAUUGAACAGUAAGAUUCAUGUGCUUUCUACUUCACCAGAAGUCUUUGACAGAAUGCCCAUAAUUUCCGCAAAGCUAAGUGUGCGUGUGACAGGUGCUGACAAGGCUAGAAAAGAAGGUGCCUCUUCGAUUUCUGAGAUCGGCCCUCGUGGUCUCUGAGCAGCCCAACUUUUGAGAAAGCGAGCGCCUCUUCGAUUGAUUCGGAGAACGAUGCCUCUUCGAUUUUUGAGAAAGCAAUCAUGCUGGGGGUCUGGCUCUCGAGAUUCGGGGAGCAGUGUCUCUUCGAUUUUUGAGAAAGUAAUCAUGUUGGGAGUCUGGCUCUCGAGAUUCGGAGGGCGGUGCCUCUUCGAUUUUUGGAGCAAGCAAUCUUGUUGGGAGUGUUUUUUCUCGAAUGUGAGUAAAGGUUGGGCAUGUUUGCUAAUCUACCUUGCCACGAAGCACAGAGGUUGACACACAGGGACUUUCCAAUUAUCCAGCAAUGGUACUGUUCCUUUACCCUCUCUUCGAUUUUUGAGAAAGUAGUCAUGUUGGGAGUCUGGCUCUCGAGAUUCGGAGGACGGUGCCUCUUCGAUUUUGGAGCAAGCAAUCUUAUUGGGAGUGUUUUUCUCGAAUGUGAGUAAAGGUUGGGCAUGUUUGCUAGUCUACCUUGCCACGAGGCACAGAGGUUGACAUACAGGGACUUUCCAAUUAUCCAACAGUGGUACUGUUCCUUUACCCUUGUGGGUAAUAAUAUGGUAGCUAGACCUUCAAAAUUUAUGGGUCUAAACUUUGUUAGUGCUGUUUCUUUGCUAUUCUUUUACCCUUCUUGGUCAGAACGAUGUAGUGGGAGCUGCAAGCUUCACGUGCUCAACUUUGGCAGAGAACUUUGGCAAAGUUAUCUGUGGUACCCAUGAGCUAUUGCUGCGUGUGG